rnacentral:lncRNA from 1 species
CCCAUUUGUGUGCAGGGUGAAGAUUGCCCUCAAGUUGAAGGGAGUUCAAUACAAAUUUUUGGAACAAAAUUUGAGGAACAAGAGUGAACUGCUUCUCAAAUCCAACCCAGUUCACAAGAAGGUUCCAGUGUUUAUUCACAAUGAGAAGCCCAUAGCAGAAUCCCUUGUGAUUGUUGAGUACAUUGAUGAGACAUGGAAGAACAACCCCAUCUUACCUUCUGAUCCUUACCAAAGAACCUUGGCUCGUUUCUGGUCCAAAUUCAUUGAUGACAAGGUAACUCAACAUUUCAAAAAUCUUCUUAGUUUUCAUGAUUUGUGCUGAUUUGUCAGCUAAACAUCACGAUGACAUCUAUAUAUGUGAAAUCUUUUUGGUGAGGAAUAUAUAUGUGAAAUCUUUCAAUAUGAUAGAGAACUCAAAAGUCAACAGCCAACCAUGAUUUUUUUUAAUGUAUCAACUUUUUGUAAAACGAUAUUAGUGAUUUGAAACUUUAUGGAAUCAUAUACUAUGAUUUUGGGAGAAAUUUUAUUUUAUUUUACUAUUUUUAUUUCGGGUGGGGGGAUUCUGUCACGUAUUUGUUUCUAUAUAACUCGAUCUAAAUUCUGUUUGUCCUAAUCACUUUAAGAAAUAAUUACUAAUAAAUAAUGUGAUUUGCGAAAUCAGAUUGUGGGUGCUGUAUUGAAAUCUGUUUUCACGGUUGAUGAGAAAGAGCGUGAGAAGAAUGUUGAAGAAACAUAUGAGGCUCUUCAGUUUCUUGAGAAUGAGCUGAAGGACAAGAAGUUUUUUGGAGGAGAGGAAUUUGGGUUGGUAGAUAUUGCUGCUGUCUUCAUAGCAUUUUGGAUCCCAAUUUUUCAGGAAAUAGCAGGGUUGCAGUUAUUCACUAGUGAGAAAUUUCCUAUACUCUACAAAUGGAGCCAAGAAUUCCUUAACCACCCUCUUGUGCAAGAAGUCCUUCCUCCUAGAGACCCACUUUUUACCUUCUUCAAAGCCCGCUAUGAAAGUCUUUCUGCUUCAAAAUAGACUUAUUUAAGGAUUUUUGUUGAAUAACUUGUAACUUGUUGAGUUAUUGCUGUUUGAAUUUCGUGUCAAAUGAUACUAGCUAUAUGUAAAUCCCAGAAAGAAAAAAAAAGAAUCCUAGGAUCUUGUUUUCGUUUUGGCCAUUUCAGUUAAUAAAGAAAUUAUAUUUUUCGAUAAUAUCAAUCUUACUUACACACAUUCAAAUCAAACCACACAUUAUAUUAAUAUCAAUCUUACUUACACACAUUAUAUUAAUAUCAAUCUUACUUACUAGGUAUUGAGCAUUAGGUAAUUGUAUUUCAAACUUUUAAUAGUUAUAAUAUAUAAUUUAUAAUUUAAUUCUUUUUAUAAGAGGUUCAUAAUAUGUGGUUUUUAUUAUUCUAUUAAUAAUAAAUAUUAAAUUAAUUUAUAAUAUUUUUUGCUCUGUAAUUUGAUCUGCAUAAUUUACUUUUACAUGUUACAGAAAGAGCGUAGCAAUAUAGUUGAAGAAUAAUGCUAAAUAUCAAAUAUUAUGCAAGUUACUUUUACAUCCCAAGAUGAUGAUGCCAAUAAUAUAUAAUUAAGAAAUAAUGUUAAACAGUAGUAAAAAGUAUUGUUUUUCAACUAAAAUAUUUUAAAAAGAGAUAGAAAAGAAAAUUUAUAUUUUAGAUCAGUAUAGCAUAAUAAUAAUUAUGUAAAUUUAGUUAUUAAAUUUUAUAUUGUAUUUAUAAAUUUUAAAAAACAAAAAUUCAUCAAACUGGUCUGAAUCAAACUGUAAAAAAUUAAUUUGGUUUAAUUUAAAUUUCAUGUUACUUUUAAAUUCAACUAAACCAAAUCACAUAUUAAUUCUAUGUUUGGUUAUUAUUUUUCUUCUAAAAAUCAAAUUAAAUCGCAUUACAUAUACCAUGCUUGUUUUCAGUUUGAAGAGAAAGAAGUGACGAGAGUUUAAAGGGAAAAGUGAAAAAAAAUGUGGGACUUAUUUAAAAAAAUGAAAUGAAUCAUCUGGUUAUCUAUCAUUUUAUUUUGAACUGUGUAAAUAUAAUAUUAUUAGGAAUAAAUACAUAUUUACAACAAACACACAUUUUUCUAUUUCUUCUAUUUAUUUCUACUUGUCUCAAUCCAAAUAACUUAAAAAUCUUCUCAUUAAAUACUCAUUCUCUAUUCUAUUCUCUUCUCCUCUUUUAAAUCUUUUUAAAAUUUUCUCUCGUUUUUUCCAUAAGCUUUGGCAUGCACGAGCAUUGCAAUAGGACCUUCUUUGACAUCUCACAAGAAUGUUGGCACCUCAAAUCAUUUAUCAUCCAAACAAAACAUUAACGCACUAUAAUUCAUUUGUAUUAAAUAUAAUUUUAAUCCUUAAAAAAUAAGACCAUUUUGAUUUUGUUCUUUUAAAAAAAUUAUUUUAAUUUUAGUCCAUGUAAAAUUUAAUUUUUUUUUCAAUCCUUAUUGUGAAAUAGCAACAUUAACUGAUAUGAUAACUACAAUAUUUCCCAUAAUUAUGAAAUCUUAAAGAAUAGGUACAUCUAAUAUGCUUAAAACUGAGUAAGUAUAUCAGACUGGUCGAUAAGAUAUUUUUUUUUUUAUGUAAUUUGAUGAGAUAUAUAAAAACAUAGUUUAUUAAAAAGUAUAUGCAUAAUCGUUUUGUCAUGCUUUUUAAUUACGUGACUAGUCAAUAAAAUCUAAAUAUCACUGUUAUGUCAUCCUGCAUCAUUUGAGAGAGACUAAAACUAAACAUAUUAAAUUUUACAUGAACUAAAUCAAAAUAAUAUUAUUUUUCAGAAUAUAAAAAUCAUAUUUAUGCCUAAUAAGAAAUUACAUAAUCUCUUGCAUCAUUUUUUCUCUCUCUUCAUAUAUAGGUGCAUAAAAUUAUUUUGAUGAGGAAGGUUUCUUCAAUAUUUUCAAAAUCCUCCUUCAAUUUAGUGAUUGCGGUAGAUAUUCAAUUAGAAAAAAUAUCUCUUAGUAAAAUCAAUAUCAUUGAUUAUUUUUUUAGAAUUCCUUUAUUGCAUGUUAUGAUAAUUUAUAGAAUAAAUCAUAGCAUUACUCGUUGAACUUUUAUCAAACUAUACAUAAUUUUAUCCUUUUUUAUUUUCCUAGACUUCUUUUUUUUAAGUUUGAAAAUAUUAUAUUAACACCUCUUUAAAUGUUUGAAAACAUUACACUACAAUAACCUUCCUUUAAUUUUCAAAAUAUUACAUUGACACUUUCUUAUAUGUUUAAAAAUACUAUUGUGAUACUCCAUCAAAUCUUACACUAAUAUUCCUUAUAGAAAAUGUUAAAAGUAAUGAUAAUAUAAAAAGAUGUAUAAUUAUAUUAAAUGUUUACGGAUGUUGUUGUAAUUUACUCUAAUGUAUUCAUCUUUUGUUCCAAAAUAAUUAUUGUGUGAAAAAAAUAUUUAUUUUAAAAUAAGUAUCAUUUUAAACUUUUAAAGUAACUUUUAUUAUUUUUUUAUUCAUAUUCCUUAUAAUAUUAAUGAUAUGGGUAACAAAAAUUAAAAGUGAAUUAAUGGUGAUAAAGUUAAAUUUAAAAAAAUGUUAUUUUUUUAUCUAUUUAUUAAUUUUUUUUAUUUGUGUAAAAUAAUAUAAUUAUAAAUAAUGAAAUAAGAAAGUAUUUUUUUUUUUGUUGACAACAACCAUAAUCACUCCUUUUCAAGGGUGUGUAUUUUAUGGGAUCGAAUAAAACCACGGUGUGUGUUACUAUCUAAGUUUUAUCUAUGGAGUAAAAAGUAAAUAUUUGACUAUUCAUUAGGAGAAUAUAUAUAAAAAAAAUUCUAUACGGUUUACGUAAUCUCUUACAUCAUUUAUUUUUCCACAUUCUAUAAAUAUAUAAUACAUCUUAUCUAACUGAUGACGUAUCCGCUGAAUACUAGUCCUGAUUCCCGGCUCAAUAAAAGGAGAAUACCUUAGGAAUCCAUAAGAAACAUUAAUUCACCACUAUAGUUGUUCUGUUAAAAGUGCUACAAACAACAAUGGCUGCUAAUCAGGAAGAUGUGAAGCUUUUGGGAGUUGCAGAAAGCCCAUUUGUGUGCAGGGUUCAGAUUGCCCUCAAGUUGAAGGGAGUUCAAUACAAAUUUUUGGAACAAAAUUUGAGGAACAAGAGUGAACUGCUUCUCAAAUCCAACCCAGUUCACAAGAAGGUUCCAGUGUUUAUUCACAAUGAGAAGCCCAUAGCAGAAUCCCUUGUGAUUGUUGAGUACAUUGAUGAGACGUGGAAGAACAACCCCAUCUUGCCUUCUGAUCCUUACCAAAGAGCCUUGGCUCGUUUCUGGUCCAAAUUCAUUGAUGACAAGGUAACUCUACUUUUCUUCUUUUCUUGCUUUGUUACUGAUUUAUCCCCAAAACACCACCUUUCAUUACAUCGAUCUAAAUUAUUUUGCCCUCAUGAUUAUUUAUCAAAAUAUUACUAGUAAAUAAUGUGAUUUGUCAAAUUAGGUUGUGGGUGCUGCAUGGAAAUAUAUUUAUACUGUUGAUGAGAAAGAGCGUGAGAAGAAUGUUGAAGAGUCAUAUGAGGCUCUGCAGUUUCUUGAGAAUGAGCUGAAGGACAAGAAGUUUUUUGGAGGAGAGGAAAUUGGGUUGGUAGAUAUUGCUGCUGUCUUCAUAGCAUUUUGGAUCCCUAUAAUUCAAGAAGUAUUGGGUUUGAAGUUAUUCACAAGUGAGAAAUUUCCUAAGCUCUACAAAUGGAGCCAAGAGUUCAUCAACCACCCUGUUGUCAAACAAGUCCUUCCUCCUAGAGAUCAACUUUUUGCCUUCUACAAAGCCUGCCAUGAAAGUCUUUCUGCUUCAAAAUAGACUUAUUUAAGGAUAGUUGUGUGAACUACUGGUCUCUCAUUUGUGAGUUAUUGCAGUUUGAAUUUCAUGUCAAUUUGGUUUUAUAUGUAAUUUAGUAACCUGGGAUAUCUCCCAUGGAGAAAAUAAUCCUUGGAUCUUGUUUCCAUUUUGGCCAUUUCAGUUAAUAAAGAAAUUCAUUUUUUCCAAAUAAAUUUUAUAGUGAAAAGCCUUUGUCUUCCUUUAUAAAAUCCUUCAAUGUGCAUAAUCUUAAUAUUGGUAGACUUGGAGCGACUAGCCAGCUACUACCUUGAAAGUUUUAUUGCCUCAAUUCGAAGGACAACGUAUAUAAUAUCAUAUGUAAAUUCCAGCCUUAAAACUAUUUGAGUCUCUCGACUUAAUGCUGUUCGAAUUUCAUGAUUGUCACUUACAAUUAUAUGUAAUGUGUGAUCUUUGCUAAUUAAAUUCUCUUUUGCUUGCCAGCAACAUGAAAAGCUGUAUGAAACAGAGAAUUUGUAGUUUCUUUAAACAUGAAAAGAGCCUAGUCAAAUAUGUUUAUUAUUAUUUUUAUUUAUGGUGUGACUCUCUUUAAUUGGCUCCCUAUUCUCCGACAAGCCACCAGGUUGAGAUCGUUGACCACUGAAAAAUUUCCAAAACUCCACAAAAAUGGAGUCAUGGAUUCACCAACCAAACCAUCCAUCCCUAGAACAUUAUAAAUCAAUUCGAUCUAAAAGAAGAGUAUUAGUAAGUAAUAAUACCUUCUCUAAUACAUUUUUAAGGCACUUUUUUAUUAUUAAGUAAUUUGUAGUAAAUUUUAAAUUAAAUAAUCGAUUGUUAUUAAAAAUAUAUAACAUCAUUAAAGAUUUUUAGAAUUAUUUGUUUUCAUGUAGAAAUAAUUAGGUGGCACCAUCUACAUCAAAAUGGAAAUGAUACGUGACAGCACUUUCCCAUUUUUUUCUUAUCGUCCCCACUAUUGACUAUGUCCAUGAUAUGUAUAUGUAAUGGAUAUAAUAUAAUAUAGGUAUAUCUUUUCUAAUUGAUCACGUAUCCUCUGAAUACUAGUCCUGAUUCCUGGCUCUAGAAAAUAAAACCUUAGGACCCAUCACAGACAAAGAAGCAAUUAAUUCACCAGCUACAUAGUUUUUCUGUUUGAAGUGCUACAAACAAUGGCAGCUAAUCAGGAAGAUGUGACGCUUUUGGGAGUUGUUGGAAGCCCGUUUGUGUGCAGGGUCCAGAUUGCCCUCAAAUUGAAGGGAAUUGAAUGCAAAUUUUUGGAAGAAAAUUUGGCAAACAAGAGUGAUCUACUUCUCAAAUCCAACCCCGUUUACAAGAAGGUUCCAGUGUUUAUUCACAAUGAGAAGCCCAUAGCAGAGUCUCUUGUGAUUGUUGAGUACAUUGAUGAGACAUGGAAGAACAACCCCAUCUUGCCUUCUGAUCCUUACCAAAGAUCCUUUGCUCGGUUUUGGUCCAAGUUCAUAGAUGACAAGGUAACUCAAAUUUCAAAAUAAAAUAAAAUUCAUGCUUUGGGCUUAUUUAUCCCCAAAUAAUCACCUUUCGUGACAUCUAACUGUGAAAUGUUAGAAUAUGUUAGAGAACUCAAUACUACCUCAAAUUCAUCUAACAGCUUACCAUGAGCUCUUUUUAAUUUGUACUAUAUUUGUCCUAAUUUGUACUAUCAUAUAAGUGAAUCCAUAACCUGUUUGUCCUCAUUACUUUAUAAAAUACUAAUUACUAAAAAUUAAUCUUAUUUGUGAAAUCAGAUUGUGGGUGCUUCAUGGAAAUCUGUUUUCACGGUUGAUGAGAAAGAGCGUGAGAAGAAUGUUGAAGAAUCGUUGGAGGCUCUGCAGUUUCUUGAGAAUGAACUACAAGACAAAAGGUUCUUUGGAGGAGAUGAAUUUGGAUUUGUAGAUAUUGCUGGUGUCUUCAUUGCAUUUUCAAUCCCAAUUUUCCAAGAAGUAGCAGGGUUGCAAUUAUUCACCAGUGAGAAAUUUCCUAAGCUCUUCAAAUGGAGCCAAGAGUUGAUCAACCACCCUGUUGUCAAAGAUGUCCUUCCUCCUAGAGAACCACUUUUUGCCUUCUUCAAAUCCCUCUAUGAAAGCCUUUCUGCUUCAAAAUAGAUUGUUUAAGAAUGAUUGUGUGAACUACUUGUCGCUCAUUGAAUUAUUGUUGUUUGAAUUUCAUGUCAAUUUGAUACUAUAUGUAAUUUAGUAACCUGGGAUAUUAGGAUAUCCCCAAGGAACAAAGAAUCCUAGGAUUUUGUUUCCAUUUUGGCCAUUUCAGUUAAUAAUUAAAGAAACUCUAUUUUUUCUUGAUACAAAUUUUAUAGCGAAAGCUUUUGUCUUCCUUUGUUAAUUAAGACGAAAGCUGGCAUGUAUAAGGCUACUAGCAUAUCAAGCACCGUGUGAAAGAAUUUACGACAGUAAGAUAUAGUUAUUACAAUAACAGAAUUAAGACAUUUCAUUCAUGAUAAUUUGAUAAAUACAAGAAGGGAUAUAAUGAAAAUCUUGUCUUCAUUUUCGUGAUUUUAGUUAAUUUUAUUUUUCUAUUCUCUCUUAUAUUUUGUGCUUCUUAUGUAAAACUCUCUUUUUUACCCAAGUAAAAUAAUUUUAUUGGGAAAGAUAUCAAACUUAGCACAAGUGAUGACAAAAACUUGCCAGCUGUAAGGACAAUUACAAGUUGGGUUGGGCAGAGUGAGCUAAAAUAGUUUGAGCUUAAAUUUUUAUAAUAUAGACCGAUCAAUCAUUGGGCUAAUGGGACCAACCCCUUUUAAGACCCCUACCUUCAGGCAAUUGCUUCCUACACCGUUAGAUUUUUUCUACACCCAACAAUAUAAUUGAAUUGUUGAUUUUGCUCUUACACCCCUACACGCAUCCCCUUCCUCCUCUGCCGCUUCUGUUUUUACUCUCCCUUCUCCCUUCUUGCGCAGUGAUCUCCCCUCUUUCACUCCUCUGUUUAACUUCACUUGUUGGUGUUUCCUUCUACCGCUUUUACGUCACCGUCACCGUCAUUAUUAUUGUAAGUAGUUUUCUUCCAAUUUUUCUACAUUAAAGAAUCGGUAUCAUUCAUACGGAUGGUCAUUCAUACAGAUGGUCAAUCAGUAUGAACUAUUUUAAAAAAAUAAUUAAAAAUAGAUAUUUUAAUGUUUUUUUAAUAAAUUUAAUUAUAACUUUUUAUAAUUAUUACAUUAAAUUGAUUCUUUAUUUUUGACUUUAUUACAAUUAAUUUUGAUUUAAUAAUAAUUUUUUAAAAUAUAUAAAUUUUAAAUAAAAAUCAUAUAUUUAAUAAAAAUUUAUAUAUGUAAAAUAUAUAUUAUUAGAUCAAAAUUUAUUAUAUAGAUUUAUAUGUGUAUUAAAUAUACAUUAGAAAUUUUAUUAUUAUAUAUAAUAAAAUUACUUAUUUUAUAACAUAAUUAAUCUAUUAACUUAGUUGAUUAAAAUAUUGUGAUAAUAACAUAAAAAUUACAUUUUCGAAUUUUGGGAUAAUAACCUUACAUAUUAACUAUUCAUAUGAACUUUACACAAGAAUAAUGUUAAAAUUCUAAAAAAUCUACCCGAUAUAAAAGAAAAAGGAUGAGUGGAGGAAGAAAACGUCCUACCUUCAAGGGAAAAAUGUCCUACCUUCAAGGGAAAAAAUCUUGUUCUUGAUGCAUUCCCAAACUAACAGAGGGAUUUACUCCAUUGAGAAAUUUUAUUAAAUGCAUCUUACCCAUCCAUAUGUUUGAUUUUAUUUUUUUUACCGCUCACCACUUUUCAUCAAAUAACAUGAAACCAAUUGAGCUUAUAAUUAUGGAUUGGGGAGAGGUGGCGUGAAACUAAGCAGGGGCCGACGAAUAGAUAAUUACGGAAAGAUGGAGGGAAGAAGACAAGUAAGAAAAGGAAAAAGAGAAAAAGAGAAAAAGAAAAGAAAAGACAGAAAAAUGAGCAGGACCAAAAGAAAAGACAAACAAAGAGAUGAUACUCUCUGCAUAAAUGACGUUUAAUGGUUCUUUAUAGAAAUAACGAAAAUCUUUAGAACUGAUUUUAUGGUAUUAAUUAUUUAUUAGAGUAAAAUUAUAAUAAAAAACUAUAUUUUAUCAGAAACCUAAAGCGUCGUUUAAUGAAUUCUUUUAGGAAAAAUAUGUUUUAUUUUUCAUACUUUUAUAAAAUCUUAUUUUUAGUUGUUGAAAUUUCAUACCAUCUAAUUUAACCCAUGUAUUUUAUAAAAAAAAUUGUUUUUAAAUUCUUUUUACAAAAUUCUUACAAACAACGUUGUUAACGUCUAUUUAACGUGACAAAUAAGCAAAGUAUAUUUUUUUUUAUUUUUUAAAUUAAUUAAAAUGAUAUGUAAUUUUUUUUUUGAAAAAUAAUUAUUAAUAUGUCUCUACGAUAUACAUCAAACAGUAACUUUUAAUGGUUCUAUUUUGUUUUUAUUUCCAUUCUAUGAAUUGGCAUGAUAGGUAAAUAGUGUAAUUUAUGUAUCAUGUAAGAAAUGACGUUAACAAUAGAGGUCCUCAUAAUUGGAUAUUUAUGCAACUAUAACCAUACCUAAUAAAUAAUUAGAUUAUAAGUAGGUAUUAUAAUUAUAACUAGUUUUUUAAAUAUGGGUAUAAUUUAAUAUAACUAGUUAUUAUUUUUAAAAUAGAGGUAUAUAACUAGUUAUGAAUAAACUAGUUAUAUAUGGAUAAAAAUAAGUUGUUUGAAAUAUUCAUUUCUAUAAAACUAAUUAUAUUUUUAUAAUUAUAAUUAUUUUUUAAAUAAAAAUAAAUUAUUUAAAAUACCUACUUUUAUAUAACUAAUUAUAUAAAAAUAUUUAUAGUUAUAGGUAUUUUCUAAAACUAGUUUUUUUAGUAGUCUUAGUCAACAUAAUUUAUGACUAGAGACUAAAAAUAAGAUUUUUGUAAAGAGAGACUAAAUUAAAUCAUAUGAAACUUUAAUAACUAAAAACAAGAUUUUAUGAGAAAUAAUAACUAAAGAUAUAUAUUUUUUCUAAUUCUUUUUAUAUUAAAAUAUCAUUUAUUUUAAAAUAAAAAAUUAAUGCCACGUUUAUUAUCUUGGAAUUACUAUUUCGUAUAAAAAAAAACAGCUUAGACGAAUUCAUAUAAAGACCACUGUUUUUAUUUGACCGAAUAAAAGUUAAAUAAAAAAUUGUGACACAAUAAGUUGUUUGACAGGAAUACGCAUGCAUGUACCUGGUAACAUGGUAUUAUGGAUUUCGUGUUACACGAAUUGGUAAUUGGUAAAGUAAAGCAUUUUCCGUUUUUUAUACGAUAAAAUUUGAGCAAGUUUCAUGUAAAACUUGUGGUUUUUCUUAUUUUGAGUUUUUCAUUUUCAUUUGAAUGUAAUUUAUACGUUUUAGAGUACUUGUCUAAUUAUUUUGUUUAAAAAUAACUGUUUUUUUUAUAAAUAAAGAUCAUGUCUAAAAAGGUUUAUGAUAAUUAUAUAUUUUUAAAAUUAAAACAAUUCAACUCUAAUUUAUUUUUGAAAAAAAAAAGGCAAUGCUUAAAGAUUAAGGAUCGAUUAAAAAAACGUUUUCAAAGCAUAUUAACGUCAACUGGUUUUGUCUUAUUCAUUUAUGUUUUUUUAGGUUUGCUUCAUCUGAGAAUUCGUUUUCUGUCCUGUUUUUCUUUGCUCUUUAUUAAUAAUCACAAAAUAACCACAUCAAUUUUACUUUAUUUUAUAAUUCUAAGGAAUUGUGAAGAAAAUAAUGAAUUUACGUAUACAUAUUUAAAAAGAACAAAAUAAAAAUAUUAUAUAUAGUUAUUAAUAAAAACUAAAUAAAACUCAACAUAAAAAAGAGUUUACCCGUUAUUUUCUUUUUAUUUUUAAAAUGCCGUAUAUUCAAGAUUAGUGACAUGAAUUAUUUAUAAUUUUUUUUUUUACUUUUAUAGUAUUCAAAUAUUAUUUAAAUUAAUCUUACUUAUUUUAUGUAAUAUUGUAAAAAAAAUAUUUAUAUUUUCUAGAUCUAGACACAAGGGCUUUCUAAUUAGUUUUGUCAUCUUGUACCACUCUAUAUAAUAAUUUAAUUGCUGAAGAGUGAAGACCACAUAGGAUUCAUCAUUUUCCAAACGAGCAUCUUCGUAGUUUCUUAAGUCAAGAGAAGAAGUGAAGUGCUGCUUCAAUGGCUUCAAGUCAGGAAGAGGUGAUCCUUUUGGGGGUUAUUGGAAGCCCAUUUCUGCACAGGGUGCAGAUUGCUCUCAAAUUGAAGGGAGUUGAAUACAAAUAUUUGGAAGAUGAUUUGAACAACAAGAGUGAUUUGCUCCUCAAGUAUAACCCAGUUUAUAAAAUGAUUCCAGUGUUUGUUCACAAUGAAAAGCCCAUAUCCGAGUCCCUUGUGAUUGUUGAGUACAUCGAUGACACAUGGAAAAACAACCCCAUCUUGCCUGAUCCUUACCAUAGAGCCUUGGCUCGUUUCUGGGCCAAGUUCAUUGAUGACAAGGUAACUCUCAAUUAGAUCCCUUCCUUUUAUUCUUUCCUUUUCUUAAAAUAAAUCGCUUAUAUAUAUAUAUAUAUAUAUAUAUAUAAUAUGGAUCAAACUUCUUUAAGAACUGUCUUGAAUUAUUGUUAUGAUUUGUAAUUAUAGGAUUAUGGUAGAAUUUUCAACUUGGGGAAGAAAUAUUUGUGUUAUGUAUUCUAAAUUUCUAACCGUAAAUAAUAUAGAAAUUAGAAGCUUCUACUACUCACUGACAAGGGGGAGAGGUGCAGGGUUGUUACGGUGAGGCAUUGCCGCACACGAUUGGAUCUACUACUCACUCCGUUAUGCUAUGCUUUCACUUUAGAACUCAUAUCCCUCACACGCGAAAUGCUUUUGAGGAACCGAAACGACAAUGACAGAGAAGAUGAACCAGCUCGAUUUGAACGCGCGCGUAGAUAAUUAGGGUAACUUAAACAAAGACGGUCCUUCACCCAAACCCGUCUUUGUUCAAGUUUUUCAUAUUUACAAAAAUGCCAUGAACUAGCAUUCUAAGACGGUUCUCUACGACCGUCUUAGAAUGCACGACGUAAAAACAAAAAAUAUUACUUCUAAUUAUAAAAAUGUCACCGUCUUACAUUUUAAGACGGUUAUUAAUAACCGUCUUAGAAUACGCAUCGUAAAAUCAACCUCUUUUAGUAGUGAAGGCAUUAUCAAAAAUUAAAUUUUAAGGAGCAAAAAGGUAUUUAAAUCCAAAUUUUAUUUACUUUUACAUAAGUCAAUCAUAUUUCUGAUUGAUGUAAUGUAACUUGGUAGGAAGACUGCAUCCUAGCUUUUAGAUUUCUCCAAGGAGAUUAGCAUCUAUGAAUGAUGAUUGGAGACAUUGGUUGCUAUUAUAUAUGUAUCCAAGAAAAAUCAUAGUUGUUUUUAUAUAUUCCAAUUAUUUACUAACAUACAAGUAAUGUAACUUGGGAAAUCAGUGCGUGGCUCCAGCAGCGAAAUCUGUUUUUAUUGUUGAUGAGAAAGAGAAAGAGAAGGCAAAAGAAGAAUUAUUUGAGGCUCUGAAUUAUCUUGAGAAUGAGUUGAAGGGAAAGUUUUUUGGUGGAGAUGAGUUUGGCUUUGUGGAUAUUGCUGCUGUGAUCAUACCUAUAAUUCAAGAGAUAGCAGGGUUGCAAUUGUUCCCAAGUGAGAAAUUCCCAAAGCUCUCCAAAUGGAGCCAAGACUUUUACAACCAUCCACUUGUUAACCAAGUUAUGCCUCCUAAGGACCAACUUUUUGCCUAUUUCAAGGCUCGGGCUCAAAGCCUCGCUGCUAAAACAAAGAAUUAACAAAGACUCAGAAUUCCCAAGGAGAUUUUAAUAUUGUAGGAAGUGAAAGCUACUUACUAUCUAUGUUUAGUUUUCGUUUUGUUCAACAAUCUAUGUUUAGUUUUCGUUUUGUUCAACAAUCUAUGUUUAGUUAUUGCGGUUAUAUUUUCAUUUCAAAAUGAAUUAAGCGAUAUAGGAUUUCGCCAUGUAAAAAAAAUAAAAAUCCAAGGUUGUUGACAUUUUCGCUAUUUCAAAUGAGUUGUGUUAAUUAUUGGUUUAAACUAUUUAGUAAAGGGACCAAUGAGAUUUAGCUUAAAUCAAAUGAGUAUCCAAUGAUUUUUUAUUUUAUUUUUUUACUUUUUAAAUCAAUGCCUUCUCCUUUGGGUCUUGGUCUUGUUGACAUUUUCGCUACUGCAAUCAAUAAAAGGAAAAAAAAUAUAUCCUCCCUUCCCCACACCAUAUAAAUCUUUUGGUGGAUAUGCUUUUUAGGGAUACGGGUGUCGGAAGAGAUAAGGAUUUGAUGCAAAGAUACAACGAUUCUUGAAAGAUAUGAUAUGCCACAUGUGAAAAUAUCAACAUGCUGUAAGUUGAUAGAUAGUCAAUUAAAAUUUGUUUAGAUAGCACUUUAGAAGAAAAAAAACAAAAUUUUAAAUUUAUCAGAUCAACAACAACAGCAAAAAUUAAGAUAAAAAACAAAAUUUAAUCAUUUAUCAAAAUCAAAACCAAAAGUAUAUUUAAAUUUUUUUAUUUAUUUUCUAGAAAAAAUUCUUGCGAUGAAUUUUUUAUUUCUAGAUUUUGAUUUUGGGCUCGAUUUUUAUAAUCACUCAUUUCACCACUUGAAUAUAUGAUUAUUUUUUUUUAUUGUUUUAGUCGAUUUUGAUUUUGGAUUCUUCUAUAAGAAUGAUUCCCUACGCAGUACACCACACUAAAUGAUAAAAAUUCUCCAACAAUAAAACUUGUUAAGAAAUAUAUAGUUCUUCCACAUAAGAACUAAGUUAGUUAAGAACAUGCAUUGAAGAUGUGGUAAAAGCAUAUUCAAUAAAUCAAUGGUGUUUAUUUAAGCAAUUCAUUUGGAAUUUUUAGUUGAGUCCAAAACGGGUUCCACUAUAUGUAUCAUUAUAUUUAAGCAACUAACCAGCAUUUAUUAUAUUUCAAUGCUACAACCCUUUAAAAACUUAUAAUAUUAUUCUUUUUAUUUGCAUUUGAUUUUUUUUCCAUUAAAAUAUUAAUUUCAAACCACUUUUUUCAUAAACAACUACUUUUUAUAUAAGUAACCAUGCUUAAAUUUAAGCAAUCCAUUCUACCAAUCACAUCAACUCCAAUAAUGAAAAUAAAUAAAGAAUGAUUUCAAAAUUUACACAAUCCAGUAAAAAAACUCCAUUAAAAUUACUCUAAAUUUAAGAAAGAUUUAUUAUGUUUUUGAUAGUUAAACUUUUCCGGACUUCUUUUAGUCUAAAUCUAAAUUUUGAGCUAAGAAAAUCCCUAAACAUUUCUUUCUUACAAUUUUUAGUUUGUAUUAUCAAAUAAUAACAUUAAUUGAUAUUAUAAUAAUAUGGUUGAUAACUCAAUGACUUAUUAUGUCAUUAAGGAGUUGAUGACAUUAGAUUAUCUGAUAAAUAAUUUAAAGUACAUUUUACUAAAAAAAAAUAUGUGACUAUUUUAUCACAUUUUUUGGUAAUGUGAUAAGUUAUUAGAUCAUUAAUGUUGUUAGGUCAUUGAUUAAUAUUUUAUUUAAAAAUUACUAAAGUGAUAAUAGAGAACAAAUUUAGAAACUUUAAGUGAUCAAAAUUUAAAUUAAGAAUAAGCCCACCCCAAAAAAAUUACAAACUAAAAAAUAGCAAGCCCAUGUACAAAUCUCAUAAAUAAACUAUUCUAGUAAAAGAUAUUUCAUUAUUUUUUUUGUCUCCAUCUUUCAAUUAAUUAAAAAAAAAGAUUAUAACUAAUCUAGAGUUGGACAGAGAUAAGUAAAAUAUGAUUUAGAAUUCUUUUUAUUAAAUAUCAAACUCAUAUAUGAUCCGACAAUUUAAUCUUAAGUAUAACAUAUUAAAUUUUUGGAGUGAGUCACUUACUUGCUUAGAUACUUCAUCGUAUAAUAUAAAAUGCUAAACACGUGCUCCCACGUAGAGGUGACGUAACUCUUGUAUCAUUUCUAAGUCAUUGACUAUAUGACAAUGGAGUUUUCUUCACUUCAUGCAAAAACAACUUUUUUAUUUGAUUUAAUUACAUUUUUUCAUCUUAUUGUUUAAUUAGUUUUUGACAAAUUUUAUUUUUAAUAAAUUAAUUGAACACAUUUUAUCUCUUAUUUUUUUUAAAAAAAAGAUUGCAAAUUUUUUCUUUUUUUUAUUUUACUCAUAAUAUAAUUAUAAAUUUACCCCUAAAAAAGUUGGGCAUUUGAGGAGAGUUCUAUGUUGGAUUUGAUGUGGAAGAUAUAUUUUUUGUUUAAAUUGAUUCUGUUGGUUUUUAAACUGCCGAAAUUAUAAUUUAACUUUUUAAAAUGAAUAUUGGUGUUUUCAAAAUGGUCACAAAUCAUAUUUUGAAAUUUUUAACCAACAUGUUGUCACAAUUUAAUUAACGACAUAUAUAUAAAAUAAAAAUUUUCAUGUAUUGCGGAACUAAUACAAAAGAAAAAAAAAAUUAGAAACUCAAAAUAAAAUCCGAUUAUUUAUGACGGAGUUAAAACAUAUUUAACCAAUAUUUUAUAAAGUGAUUUGAAACCUAUAUUGCAAAGUCUAGAAAAAAAGUUUUUAAAAAUCGACUAUAUUUCACAUAAAAUAAAAAUAUCUAAACCUUAUGUCAUCUAUCAUGCACCUUUGAUAACCUUUGUAAUUGAUCUCGUGUCCAUGAAUACUAGUCCUGGCUCCAUAAAAGGAGAACACCGUAGGAAUCCAUCAUAGACAGAGAAACAAGACCAGAGAUAGUUGUUUGAGUGAAGGUUUGAAGUGCUACGUACAAACAAUGGCCAACAAUCAGGAAGAGGUGAUACUUUUAGGAGCUGUGGGAAGCCCAUAUGUGUGCAGGGUGAAAAUUGCCCUCAAGUUGAAGGAAGUUCAAUACAAAUUUUUGGAAGAAAAUUUGGCAAAUAAGAGUGAACUGCUUCUCAAAUCCAACCCAGUUCACAAGAAGGUUCCAGUGUUUAUUCACAAUGAGAAGCCCAUAGCAGAAUCCCUUGUGAUUGUUGAGUACAUUGAUGAGACAUGGAAGAACAACCCCAUCUUGCCUUCUGAUCCUUACCAAAGAUCCUUGGCUUGUUUCUGAUCCAAAUUCAUAGAUGACAAGGUAACUCUACUUUUCUUCUUUUCUUGCUUUGUGCUUAUUAUAUUUGUCCCUAAAACAUCACCUUUCAUGACAUCUAAAUGUUAAAUCUUUGAAUAAGUCAGAGAAGUUGAAGAAACUUCAUUCACUAAGUGUACCAAAUUUGUCUAAAAUCAUAUUAAUGAUAGAUCAAAUUCAUUUAAGAACUACCUCCAAUUAUUAUGAUUUGUUUGGAAUCUUGGGAGAAUUUUGUUUUUUUGGGGUGUCACAUUUGUUUCUAUAUAUAACUAAAUCUAAAUUCUGUUAUCCUAAUUACUUUAUUAACUAAUUACUAAUAAAUACUCUGAUUUAUGAAAUCAGGUGGCGGAUGCUGCAUGGAAAGCUGUUUUCACUGCUGAUGAGAAAGAGCGUGAGAAGAAUGUUGAUCAAUCAUUUGAGGCUCUUCAGUUUCUUGAGAAUGAGCUAAAGGACAAGAAGUUCUUUAGAGAAGAGGAGUUUGGCUUGGUAGAUAUUUCUGGUAUCUUCGUAGCAUUUUGGAUCCCUAUAGUUCAAGAAGUACUGGGUUUGAAGUUAUUAAACAGUGAGAAAUUUCCUAAGCUCAACAAAUGGUGCGAAGAAUUCACCAACCACCCUGUUGUCAAAGAAGUUCUUCCUCCUAGAGACACACUUUUUGCCUUCUUCAAAACUAUCUUUGAAAGACUCAGAAUUUCUAAAAUAGGCUCGUGAAGUAACUAGUGAGAGACUCAGAAUUUCUAAGGAAAAUUGUGUUGACUACUUGUUUGUUAUUGUUGUUAUGAUUUCGUUUCAAAAUGUUGUUUGUAAGUGUUAGGUAAUUCUAUUCCACUGAUAAGGAACAAAUUGUAAAGAUAAUUUUUCUGCCCAUUCUUAUUGAAACUUUAGAUAUUUAAAGAGUAACAUAAUACUGCAAAGCACAAAACUACAAAGCUGAUAAUGGGCAUAACAGAAAUGCCACCUAAGGAAUAACAGAAUUCCAAUAACAGCCUAAUGAUUGUCUAUCAGAGGGAGAGGGAAUUCUUUAGCGGUAUCAGACAUAAUCCUCCAAAUGAGUGGGCCUUCUGGUUAUCCAUUUGGGUUUUUAAUCUCCCUAGUUUGAAUUGCUAACAAAACCCUCCCUAGGAAACUCGACAUCAUCCUCGAGGUCGUACGCAUUGUGCAAGGUGGUCCAUUCUUCCCAAGAGGCAUCCUCUGGAGUGAGGCCGUUCCACUGCACCAAAACCAUACAUGAAGGUGUUGUUGUUAAAUGAUCCCAUUUCCAAUCUAAGAAUGACAAAGGUUCAACCACCGGAUGGUUCUCUGUUUGGAUGGGUGGGAGAGUAGCGGUUUGAGUGGGUGAAGGUCCUUUGUGCGCUUUCAAGAGUGAAAUAUGGAAUACAUGAUGGAUUUUAGAAUCCAUCGGGAGUUCAAAGUGGUAUGCUACAGGGCCUACUUUAUCUGUUAUUGGGAAGGGUCCGUAGAACCUCUUUGAAAUUUUGGUGUAAUAGGGACACACAUAGGUUUGGCGAUAAGGCAGUGGGCAGACGUAUACCAAGUCUCCAACAUCAAAUUAUAUAUGACAAUGAUGUUUGUCAGAAUAGUGUUUCAUGGCCUCUUGUGCUUUCCGUAAGCGUCUCUGUAACUGAAUAUGAGUAGCUUGGCGUGACAUUACCAUAGAAGUCAUGACUUCCAUCGGAGAAGAGUCGAGCAAUGAUGAUGGAGGGGACGGGGGAGGUUUGUUGUAUGUAUCUUCGAAUGGUGAUAGCCCUGUACUAGAAUGAGUGGAAGUCUUGUAACACCAUUCUGUCAAUGUCAGGAAGUUGUACAAUAGGGAUGGACGAUCAUGCACGAAUGAACGUAGAUACUGUUCCAGAAUGCGAUUAAGGACUUCCGUUUAUCCAUCGGUCUCUGGAUGGUACACGGUGCUAAAUCGCAACUCGGUGCCACUGAGUCGAAAAAGUUCUCGCCAAAACAAGCUAAUGAAGAUUGGCUCUCGAUCUGAAAUGAUACUCCUGGGGAAACCAUGCAACUUGCAGAAGAUGUCCAUAAAUAGGGUGGCGACCUUGUAUGCGGAAUGGUGUGGGGGUAAAGCACCAAAAUGGGCCCCUUUAGAGAAACGGUCGACCACCACCAAAAUUGUGGUAAAGCCAUGGGACUGGGGAAGUCCCAUGAUGAAGUCCAUUGAAAUGUCCACCCAAAUUCCAUUUGGUAUAGACAGAGGUUGAAGGAGGCCUGCUACUUCCUUGGUCUCUUACUUUGUUUGUUGGAACGUAGGGCACUGAGACACAAAACGGUGGACUAAAUUGCACAUUCCUUCCCAAUUAAAAUUAUCUUGAAUGCAACACAAUGUUUUCAUGAUUCUGAAAUGUCCCCCCAGGGCUAUAGAAUGGUAUUCAUGCAGUAAUAAAGGAAUGAAGGAGCAAUCAAGAGGAAGCCAAAUUUUGCUAUGAUAAUGAAGGAGGUCCCGUCAAAUGGAAUAUUCCGGGUGGGCAUUUGGAUGAAGCCCAACCUUGUUCCAUAAGUCCAAAAAAACAGGGGACUGCUAAAGUGACCUUUGUAGGUCUACCAAGAAAUCGAAUGCUGAAGUGAGAUGGUGAGAAGUUGGCCUUGGUGUGGCAUACGGGACAAUACAUCCACGUCGACAUUGCCGGAGUCGGACCUAUAUUCAAUUGUGUAAUUGUGGCCCUGUAAUUUGGACAAAUAAGUUUGCUGCUUGGGUGUUUGUAUUACUUGUGUCAUAAGUUCUUUUAAGCUUUGAUGAUCCGUGAGAAUGACAAAUGGGUGUCCCAGUAGGUAAUGUUGCCAUUUGUGCACCAUGAUGGUUAUAAUGUGCAGUUCCCUGACAUAGGUUGAGCUGUGUUGUAAGCGGGGGUAGAAGAGUUUGCUGAAAAAGGAUAUUAGAUGAUGUUGUUGAGCCAGCACUGCACCCAUUGUGAAACCAGAGGCAUCGAUUUCUAGUGUGAAAGGGAUGGAGAAAUCAAGAGGAACCAAAAUAGAGGCAGUGGUCAUGGCGUGUUUCAGUUGGUCAAAAGCAGCUUAUGAGUCUGAGUGCCAAUGGAAUUGGUCCUUGUGUAGAAAUUGGUUAAGUGGUGUUGCGGUCAGUGCGUGGUGCAGGCCAAUCAACCAUGGCGCUAAUUUUAGAUGGUCAAAGGCCACCCCUUCUGCAGACACUACAUGGCCUGGGUAUUGAAGAAAUCAUUUGGCAAACAGGCACUUGGAUUGACGAAGGUGAAAAGAUCCCUGAGACAACAUUGCGAAUACUUCCUCCAAAGGGAGCAUGUGGUAGUGAUGAAUUGUAGAUGAGUAUAUCAUCAAAGAAAACAACAACAAACUUACACAAAAAUGGUUUAAGCAAUUCAUUCAUUAUCUCCUGAAAAGUUGUCAGCGCGUUACACAACCAAAAGGGCAUUAUGCGAUAUUUGUAAUGACCUUGAUGUGUUUGGAACGCCAUUUUAGGGAUGUCUUCGUCCGCCAUGUGUAUUUGAUGGAAACCUUGACUAAGGUCAAGCUUAGAGAACCACGAAGCUGAGUCUCAAUUCAUCUAGUAGCUCUUCGAUAGUGGGCACUGGGAACCUAUCCUUCUUCUUCAUGAGAAGGAUUGGAGAAGAAAAGGGAUUGUGGCUAAGUUGAAUGAAUCCGACUUCAAGCAACAAUUGAAUUUGUUUCUCCAAUUCAACUUUCUGGCUGUGGGGGUAAUGGUAUGAUUUUACAUUAAUGGGUUUGGAAUUUGAUGGAAGGUGAAUGUGAUGGGAGAUAGGGCGGGGUGGAGGGAGCUAGGUGGCCUCGAUGAAAAUUUUUAGCAUAUCGGAAAAGGAGUGUGCUGAGUUCUGGUGGUUCUGUGUGUUGGUCAAGGCUCAGGGAAGGUGAUAUGGGGUGAUCUUGGGUUGGAUCUGGUAUGGGUGUGAGUAUGAAAAGGGCGAAAAAUGCUUGUGUUUUGAAACAUGUGCUUCAAUUGGUGAGCUGAAGCAAAAACUAGGCGAACGGGAAUAUCAACAACUAAUUGGACCGGCUGGCCCAAAUAGGUGAAAGACAUUGAAAGUGUGGUGUAGUCAGUGGUAAUCGGGCCCAAUUGGCGAAGCCAGUGUACCCCGAGAACAAUGUCGGCUCCACUGAUGGGUAGGGCAUAUAAAUCAAUGGUAAAGGAAUGACCCUGGAUGCUUAUCGGCACCUGAGGGUGGUAGUGGUUGUAGACCAUGACCCCGUCGUUACCCACCAUGACAUUGAGGGGCUCUAUCGCAGAGGAGGUUAAGUCCAAAAACUUAGCUACCCUCAUUUGUAUAAAGUUAUGCGUACUGCCCCCUAUCAAUGAGUAUGGUUAGCUGGUGAUCAUUAAUGGUGUCGUAAAGACAAAAAAUUUUGGAGCUGGCAUAUCAGCCAUUGCGUUGAGGCUAAGGUGGGGAGUAUUGGUCUGGUAAAGGCAAAAGGCAUUAGCUUGGAGGGCAUGUGGGUCAUCCGGCACCAAAAGAGGGUAAGGGUAUUCAAUAUCAUCCUCGACUAUGAGGAGAUGGAAAUGGGGCUAACAACGGUGGAUGGAAGUCCAUUUAUCAUCACAAUGAUAACAAAGACCUUUAUCGCGUCACACAACCAUCUCCUCCGGGGAUAAUCUUUUGAAGGGUAUUUUAGGUAGUGGUUUUGUUGGGAGCACAAGUGGGGAAAGAGAACAGUGUUGUUGAGUAGCACAUCGACAGUCAAUAAUUUUUUCCGCCUUGCGAAUCGCAUUGUCAGGUUACCACCAGCGAAGGAUAAGGAGACAAGCUGAAAGGCUUGGACCUCGCAGCACAAUUCCAGGUUGAGACUGGAAAUAAAACAACUAAGGAGGGACGUCGGUGGUAACCGAUAACUGUGAAAUAUGAGCUAAUUUAAUAGUCAAUUUUGGCUAAUAAAUGGGUGUAAUUUCUUUACUUUAUUAUUGUUUUUAAGGAAAUAAUGAAGAAAUUAACAUCUUUGCAAUUUUUUAUUAGCAAAAUUCAAAAGAAGAUUUCAAGUGCUUUAGAAGAAAAAUUGGUGCAAAAACUGGAAGAAAAAACCUUGAUGAAAAAUUGAAGAAUUGUACAGCUCGCUCAACACACACUCUCACAUAGUGGGCAAAGUCAGACUCAAUGCGCAAUCUCGCUCAGCGUGCAACUCGGGCUUAAUGUGCAGUCUCGCUCAACGCACAUGUCAGACUUAGCCUGAGAAGGUCCAUGAGGAAAGCCCAAGGUGCACUUAGCGCGCAAAUGCGUGCUUAGCACGAAGUCAGCGUGAAAAGUAAGCUACCUCAUGCCUAUAAAAGGAGUAGGAGGCAGAAGGAAAACACACACUGAAUCUCAGAGCUAUCCAAAAAUUGGGCCUAUCCUUUAGGGGAAACCUUCUUUCUUAAUCAUUCCCCAUUUUCUUGUUAUUAAACUCCCUUGUAAUGUAACUGUUUUUCUUAUCUAUUAAUGCAAUUUCAAUUUUCUAUUCUCUUUUUUCUACUUUUCAUCUCUAUUGUGUGGUUUCACUACUAAAAAAGUGAUUUUUUAUGACGUCAAUUUUACAUCAGUUGGAAAAAACUGUCUUAGAAAGAACACGGUGGCAUUUCCAUAAAUAAUUAUAAUAAUUCUACGACGGUUAUGCAAAACCCUCCUUAGAAAAUUGUUAUUCUAAGACGGUUUUAUAAAAAUCACCUUAGAAAAUUGUGUGCUAUUUUUAAUAUUUAUUGUGUCCCUCUAGCUACUCUUUGUGCUCCCUCAUUCUCGAAAGAGCAAGCGCCGCUUCCACUCCCUCGUCCCGCAGGUCGAAAAUGUCGUUGUCCGCGUCGACUACUUGAUCUCUGACUACGACUGUUCCUCCUCUUCUACCGCCUCCAACGGAGGCCCUUUCUAGAACCUCCUCCGCCUCGUCUUCGACAGAAUCAUGAAACCCAUUCAAACCCUCAACCAAUUCCUGAGUCCCAAACGCCUUUCUUCCUCUGUCACCGCUACCGCUGCCACAUUCCCUUCCUCCACCUCCUCCCUCGCCGUCGAUUCCGACGAAGACUUUGACGACGGCGUCACCCACCACUCCCCAACCCAAGUCCUCAAGAACUUCAACGAGAUUUUCCUCCUCCGGAUCGAGUUCCCUAGCAGCGACAAUCAAAGCAUCACUGACUCCUUCUACACCAACGGGGACCUCAAACUGCGCAUUGUUUGGACCAUAAGCUCCCUCAACACUGCCUCCGCCAGACAUUACUUGGUUCAACUGAUAAUCUCUGAGCACGCCACCCUCGACAAUUUGUUGCUCACGAACGCCGAUGCCCAAGGGGUGUUUUACAUGAACCGGGAGCAGCUGGAGGAGCUGAGGGUGAAGCCGCUAUCGGCGUCGUCGGCGUAUUCUUACAUGUUAUUCUUAGCGGGCAUAUGCUUGCAGCACUACAUGUUUUUUUUUACGGUAAGGUGUGCAUUUCUUUCUUCUUCUUCUUUAAAUUUCAAAUUAUCCUUGAUGGGAGCAAAAAAUGGCAGCUUUCUUGAUGAAUCUUGGUCUGACAUGGUGGAUUUGAUUGGAAAUAGAAGAUUUGAUUGAGUGUUUUGUCUGAUUUUUGUGGAUCAAUCUUGCUUGGUUUCCUUUUUCAUAGUAAUGUUCUUUCUGCUUUGAGCUCUGAUUCAUUUAUUCACUACUGUUUCAAAGCUAUGUCUAUUUUUGGCAUUGCUUGCCAUUUUAAAGGUUCCAAUUCUAGAUUUUGGGUUCACAAUGCUUUGUCAAUGCACUGUUUACAAAUGAAUUUGGAAUUGUAGUCCUUGAUUGAGUUUUGUGCUGUCUUGUGUUUUAAUUUAUGUGUGGCUAAUGAAUUUGAGCCGUCUUAGUUGUUUUUACUUUGGUACCAAUUAUUUUGAUCUUGUAUGGGUUGUUUGCUUUUGUUUGGAAAUUAAUAUCACCAACAUAUGACCUUAAGUUGAUGAUUUUUUUUUUCUUUUUUGCAUUGUUAGACUAGCAAUAUUUUCCUUAUUUGUUCUCUCGAUGGAAACUGAGCUUUCCUUCCCACAAGCUUUGUUUGAUUCAACUUGCUGCUAAGUUGUUCUGUAUUUCCUUUCCUCUAUUUAUUGCAUCAAUCCAUAAAUAGGGCUGCUUUUUCUCCUUAGGUGCACUUCUUAAAAUGCUUUAUCAUUUUCGUGUAGUCCAUGAAUUUCAACACACUCAUAUCUUACCAAGAGGCUUCCUGUCUUUCUCUCUCUCAUAAAAUGUUUUCCAUAAAAUAAAGUAAUUAGCAUAACAAUGAUUUCUAAUUUUCUAUGAUUUUUUUAUGCUCCAUGAAACACUUAGGGUCUUAAAACAAUCAUUUGAUUCUAUGGUUAUAUAAGAGCGAAUAUUUGUUUGAUAUAGGGUGCUAUUGUGAAUUCCAACAAAUAUUUAUUUAUUUAGAUGAUGCUUUUUCCUCUUUCUUUUCAUUCUUUACAUGUUACAGUGUUGGAUCGGAUGUAGUAUGUGUCGUUAUUGUGGUGUGGGCUUGUCAGAAUCAAAUUUUGACAACAAGCAACAGGGACAUGAGAGUAGUCUAAAGUUGAAUGUUAAAGUUUCCAUUAGGCCUUGCAAAUCUUGUGGAGAGAAGCUAGAGCGAGCAAAUGUGAAAUGGCAUAGUACAAGUCCUUAUGCAACACCACUUAUCAGUUCGACUACAUGUAUAACUAAGUACUGAUAGUUGUGUCUCCACUUGCAGUAAUUACUAUCCCCUUGUCCUCAUUUUAUAAUGUUGAUGAUAUUAGUCUUAUAUGACAAGAUGGUCUUUAUAUAACCAAGUCUUUCUUCAAUAUAUGAUAUUUCUUCAAUAUCUAACUGCCUCCUUGUUUCUAUGUUUUUGCUUUGCAAUAUGUGAAACGGAUUUUCAAACACAUACUAAAUAUAUAGAUAUUUAUUUGAAUUUGUGUUUGAUGAGUCAUGAUUUUGAAUUGUACGUGUAGGUAUGGAGAUAUAUUCAAGACAAACAUAUUAGGGUGUCCUUGUGUGAUGAUAUCAAGCCCUGAGGCAGCUAGAAUUGUGCCUGUGACUCACGCACAUCUCUUCAAGCCAACGUACCCUCCAAGCAAAGAGAAGUUGAUAGGGCCAGAGGCUGUGUUCUUUCAACAAGGUGCCUAUCACUCCAUGCUCAAGAGGUUGGUUCAAGCCUCAUUUUUACCCUCCACAAUUAAGCACUCAGUCUUUGAGGUCGAGCGAAUUGUCAUCAAAAUGGUGCCAACUUGGACCAACAAAACUAUCAACACCUUUGCAAGAGAUGAAAAAGGUAUCACACAUGACAUAACUUAACUACAUCUACACAUAUGUCGAUCAAAACUUUUAGAAUUAACCAUAUCUUAUCAUAUUAAGAGCAUGCUACUUAGUCGGCUUAAUGGUGGAAAUUUGAAUAAUAUGCAUGAGCUUAUAAAUUGUAAUCUUAGUUUGACUUUUGUGUACCAAAAAAUAUUAAGAAUCACGAUAAAUAUUAACUUCAUUUUGGUUGGAUUAUAGUAGAAAGAGGAAUAACAAGAAAACGAAAAUGUGAUAAGUAAUGUGAUAAAAAUUAUUUAUUUCAUUAUAUGGAUUUAGAAUCUCAAGAAAUUUUCUUGGUUUUAUUUAAUUAGUAUGCAUUUGAAGUAGCUGCAAUCUCAGCCUUUGGGGAAAUAUAGGAGCUUGAAAUGGAAGAAAUCAGGGAGCUCUAUCGUUGCUUGGAGAAGGGAUACAACUCUUAUCCAUUACAUGUUCCUGGAACUUCCUAUUGGAAGGCAAUGAAGGUAUGUAAAAUGUAUUUCUUAUUAUCCUGUUUUGUAUUUCUUGCCCUAUUUUUGCAUAGUUUGUGCAUUUUUUUUUUGGAAAAAUGUAAAUUAUAUUAAACCCAAAAUGAUACAACAAUAAACGGGGCAUACCCCAUAGCUAGAGAAAAUCAAAAGUCUCCCUAAUACAAGAAGGCCUAUAUCAAGAUGUUAAAACAAAUGCAACAGGUGCGCUUAUCUAUACAUAAUAAACUUAAUCUUGCUAAUAACCUCUAUUAUAGAAAAUUGGUAAUCUUCAAAAAUCAGCUUGUUCCUAGACAGCCAGAUGCAGUAGACUGUAAUUGUUAUAGUUAGACAACAAAAUUUUCCUUGAACACCUGAUGUGGAUCGGCCCCUAAUUAAAGAGUCAGUAAUACGCUGCAAAGAAGUGAAACGCCUGCGGAAAGGAGCCAAAUCACGAAUGUGAGCCCAAACUUGGAGAGAUUUCCUGCAAGAAAAUAACAAAUGAACAUUUGACUCAGCCUCAUUUGAACAUAAAGGGUUGAGGGAACCCUUGUUCAAAAAAGCAGCUUUGUCAAGAGUAAGCAGCCGGUUCCUUUUAGCAAACCAUAGAAUGAAAGACAUCUUAGGGGGGAUUGCUGGGUUCCAUAUAACAGAACACCAACUAACAGUAGGCUUGGCACCUCUAAUGUAUUCAUAGACUUUGCCAACAAGCAAUUGUUCAUUGGUGCUCCAAGAUUGAAUCCUCUUUUUGGCCUCUUCCGUACUUAGCUCUUUGGAGAUAAUAAAGUCCCUUAUUUGAAUGAUUUUCUUUAUCAAAAUUGAAUCUGAUGAAGAAGUAUUGUAAUUCCACACAUCGCUCCCUUUGAAAUAGUAAUGGUGAAACCCAUAGAACCCAUAGAGAAUCUUUCUUACAAUGAAAGUCCCACAGGAUACGGGAAAGAAGCGCAAUGUUCCAGUCCUUGAGAUUAAAAAGGCCUAAACCCCCUUCUUUUUUCAAAGAACAAACUACUGACCAAGCAACCAAGGGCUUGUUUUUGCCAAUAUCUGCUUUGCCCCACAGAAAAUUACGACACGAAGCGUUGAUCCGGUCCAAAACAGAUUGAGGCAAAGGAAAAAUCCCCAUCCAGAAAUUCAUAAUUCCUUGAAUAACUGCUCUGAUCAACUCUGGCUUACCUGCAUAAGAUAAAGACUUCUUGCUCCAUCCCUGAAUCAGGCCAGUAAUCUUGGAAAGCAAGGGAGCAUAAUGGCAUACAUUUAAUCUAGAUGAUAAAAGGGAACACCCAAGUAUCUAAAAGGGAAGCCACCCAAGCUAAAUCCAGUAAGCUGUUGAAUAUGAGAAAGCUCAUAAGGCCUAAUACUGACUGAAUAUAUGGAAGAUUUAUCAGAGCUGAUGGAAAGCCCUGAAACCCUAUAGAAGUGCUGAAGCUUGACAAACAUAGUUGACACAGAAGGGAUAUCUCCUCUAGAUAGAAGCAUAAUAUCAUCUGCAAAAGCCAAAUGAGAUAGUUGAAUACCUGCACAGUUGGGAUGAAAUUUAAAAUUGGCAUCAUCCUUGAGGCUGCUCAUAUCUCUGGAAAAGUACUAUAAACAAAGCACAAACAGAUAAGGGGAGAGAGGAUCCCCUUGUCUAAAACCCCGCUGCCCUUUGAAGUGGCCAUAAAUGGAUCCAUUGACUGCCACACUAAAGGAAGUGGAAGAAACACAUUCCAUGAUCCAAGUACAGAACUGGGUUGGGAAGCCAAUGGACUUAAGCAUCCAAUCCAAGAAUUCCCAGGAAAUGUAAUCAUAAGCUUUAUGCAAGUCAAUUUUCAGGAGGCAUCUUAGAGAGGAUCUUUUUCGUGCAUAUUUGCACAAAAUCUCUUGAACUAGGAAGAUGUUGUCCACCAUCUUUUUGUUCUUAAUGAAGCCAGUUUAAGUUUCCCCAAUAAUAGUCUCAAGCACUAGGGCUAUGCGGUUGGCCAGAAUUUUAGACACAAUCUUGUAUAACAAAUUACAACAAGAUAUGGGUCUAAAAUGGUUAACCUAGGAGGCCUGAUCGUGCUUAGGAAUAAGCGCAAUAAUAGCAUGAUUAAUCUGCUUUAAAAAAAUUUAAGUUGUAAAGAAUUCAUUAACCGCCUCAAAGAUAUCAUCACCAAUGAUAUUCCAAGCCUUCUUGAAGAAUAAAGCAUUGAAACCAUUUGGCCCUAGAGCUUAAAUAAUUAUUGCAAAUCGUUAGAUAGUACGAAUAAUUUUGAUACGAAUGGAUUACGAGAGAUAUUUCCGUACGAAUCAUUAUGAGACAACGUGGCAAAAUUUUAUUUAGUUAAACAAUAAGUUAAAACUUUUAAAAGAAUAAAAAUAAAAGCAAAGAAGUGGGACAAGACCCAUGGUGUUCAUAUACAGUUUUUGCUAUAAAAAAAUUCCAUACCAUAUAGCCUUUGCAUAAUUAUUUUCAACCAUUUGUGCAUAAUUAAAAGAUCAAUCUUAGUAUUAAAAAAAAGACUAAUCUAUUUUCAACCAUUUAGUAACUUUUUUUAUCAGGGAUAUUAAUUUGUUAGGAAGAAAAAUUAAACUCACCACUUAUCUCUUCUUUCUUCGGCUUCAACUUUCAAAUUAAAUUUGUAAGUCUAACCAUUUUGUGUAACAGUAUUAUAUGAUCUUUAAAUUAUGAUAAAAUUCAACAAUUUUACUACAUAUAUAAUAAUAUAGGAUUGGACUGUGGUGCUAACACACACUACUAAAAGAAGCCCUUUUUACCACACCAAUUCUAUGACGGUUGUUUACAACCGAUUUGGAAAGUGGUAGAAUGACAUUUUUGUAAUUAUUGUCACUAAAAAUGCAUUUUACGACGCACAUUCUAAGACAGUUAUUGAAAACCGCCUUAGAAUGUUAUACGAAUUAAAUUUUACAAUGGGUUUUACUGAAUAACCGUCGUAAUUUAAAAAUAAAAAAAUCAAAAAACCGCAAACCCGCACGUACUAGCUAGCCACCUGCUUGUUUCUCCUUUCGCAUUCAAGCCCUAGCUACCCUGUUCUUCAUUCUUCCGGUCCAUUGAACCCUACCCUCUUCGUUGUUCACCAUUGAACCCUUCAAUCUUUGACAAUCCAGCAACAUACCCUAGCCUCUUCUCCUUCCAUUCAACCCCACGACGUCGAGGAACUUCCCGGCUCGAACUUUCAAGUUCGUGAAGAAAUUAGUUUGAAUGAAGGAGUGGUAGUUCGUGAAGAAAGACAUUGGAGUCACUGCAAAGAAACCAGGUUAGUGAAAAAAUUAGCUUAUUUUACUCAAGAUAAGGUUGUCGUGGUGUUAAAUAAAGGUCGUGGGUUCGAUAUAACCUAGUUUUGCUGAUGAUGUUUGGUAAUGGUGGUUGCAGGGAAGAUAUUUGAUGUAUUGAAUGAGUUAUUGGUGAACAACAGUUGAUACGUAGUUCACUGGGCUGCAAACGGGUCAGUGGGCAUUUGUUUAUUUUCUCUGGUUCAUGCAUGUUCGUAUGGUAUCUUGAUAUAUAGUUGAUACUUAGGUUGGUGUUGUUUAAGGGACUUGAGUUGAAUGGAUUGAAGAUUAAUUAUGUUGAUCUUAACAAUUUUUUAUUUCCUGUCUUUAGGGAAAUUUGUGUUUGCCUGCAUUUAUGUGUUUAUAGUGUAUGUAAUUUUAAUUUAAGGUACUAGAUAUAAUACUGUAGGUUUUGUAUUAUAUGAAUGAAUGCAAGGUAUAUGGGUUGGGUUUUGGUAGCAAAAGAGCCAUCUUUCUUUGAUUUUGUGGAACUGAAGUCUGCAUUUUGUUCAUGGUCCUGACCUUAAUCAUAUUUUAAUUUCCUGAGUUCACGUCAGUGUCUGUAUUUGCCUCUUCCAUAACUUCAUUUGGAGAGCAAGUCUCUUCAUUUUGAUUCCCUUCAUUUCUAUUCUAAGGUAAAUGAACUUGCCCAUCUGGUUCUCCAUCUCCAAAAUCAUGCAAAUGAAGCACUUAUGCAAACUUAGAAAUCUCGUAAGUUGUGUGCGCCUUGCAAAGACAAAGAACUUGUUGGGUUUUUUUAGAAGAAAAGAUUUUUCAAAAGAAGUAGUGAUAUGUUAGGCAUUAGGCAAAUGAACUUAUUAAACUUUUAUUCUUUAGCAUUAUAUAUGGAGUCAAAGGGUAACCUAAAAUUAAAAAAUUUCAACAGACAACAGCACUGUAAUCUUAAAAUCAAAGUGAUUGUAUCCUUAAGUCUAAAUGAUAAAAAUAAUAUCCUAAAAAUUUGAAAUAUAACAAAAAUUCCUAAAAACUAGGGAAUUGCAGAUAUUUAGGCAUAUUUUCAACCAGACUCCUAUAUCAAUUGUAAGUGCCUAUAAUUAACCAACAUCCAAAGUCAUGUCUUUGGCAUCAAGCAUUCAAGCUUCUAUGUAUAAAAUGCAAAAGUUUCCCGUUUUGAGUCUUGAAUCCUUGUAAUAUGUAUAUAUAUAUAUAUAUAUAUAUAUAUAUAUAUAUAUAUAUAUAUUGUUGAAAAUUCAGAACUACAUUGCUUAAGGACUUGAGAUACUCUAGAACUUGAAUUUGAAUGAAUGGAGAUAAUUGUCACACUCAGCCCUUAGCUUUUUAUUAACACACACACACACACACACACACACAUAUAUAUAUAUAGUACAAAGAAAGAAAAAGAGAGAGAGAGAGAGAGAGAGAGAGAGAGAGAGAGAUGGGGAAAGCUGCCUUUGGAUAAGGAUUAGACACUCAGCUUCCCACACACUCAACAUGACAACACAUAAAGCUUAAUACAUACUCAACCUCACUCACACACUCAAAACAACCUUUUACCUACACAGUUGUCUACACAAUACAGUUGUAUACAAUAUAUAUUUAACACUCUUCCUCAAGCUGGAGCAUAUAAAUUAAAUGCUCCAAGCUUGGAACAUGAGCUGAAGCAUAAGAAAGAUUCUUCUUCUAAGUUAGAUGAUGCGGUGAAGCUUGAUUGCUUGAUUGAAACCCCUGAUUGAAACUCAGUUGACUACCAAACUGGAAAGGACUGCCUCCAGAUGAAGUUGAUGAUUCCAAAUACAAAAUUUGAUUUAACUGGGGCAGGUUGCUGACUUGUGUGGAUGUCGAGGCUGCUGCUGUCGGAGUGAAUGAGGAUUGAGGAGUUGAUGCACUGGAGGUUGAUCAAAACAUUGAGGGAGAACUGUCAGAAGUAACAAACACAGUGGAUGACGAUGAUGUACUAAAUGUGGAGCCAAAUGCAGACUUAGUGGGCUGCCAACUAAAGUAGAACUUAGACCACAUUGGCAGCCCACUAAGAGUAGACCACCGAAGAGGAAGCAGGGGUGCCAAGUUCAAAAGAUGUGGCAAGACUUGAAGAAGGAAACAACAAAUUCCCAAAAACAAAAGCUGCACUUGCUCCAGGGCUAGACUUCAAAGUGAUUAGUAUUGAUUAGGAGACCACACACUCCCCCUCACGAGAUGGAAGGUGGAGUCAACACUUCCAGCUUGGGAUGAACAAUAAAGUACAAAAAUAGACAAUGAAACAUGUCAAAAAUACAUUGGCAGCAGAUUGAAAAUGACUGAAAAACAUUCAAAGACAAUUGGAAUAUGUUAAACCAUUAAGCAGAAGCCACAACACAAUGCUUAACCACUUAACAGAAGCAAACACACUUAACCACCUAAAAGGUAGAAGCAAACCAAAGCUUAACCAUCAAGAGCAGAAGCUAAACAUGGUGCUUAACCACUCAAGACAGAAGCAAAACACAAUUUUUGAAUGCUUAACCACUAAAGGCAGAAGCAACACAACAAUGUUUAACCAUCCAUGGUAGAAGCUUGACAUCAAUGUUUAACCACCAUGGAUAGAAACUUAAUGACCUUUUUUUAAUAGUAGGGGUUCUUGACCAGAUUGAACCCCCGGGAACAACAAUUGCUUCAAGGACAGAGACAAGGAAGAAAUUGCUGGACAACAGGAUCAACAAAUGACUUAUAAUAGGGUUCUUGACCAGAUUGAACCCUAGGGACAGGGAUAUUAAUCAGUAGACCACACAACAAAUGAAUAAAAGGACAUGAGACAAUGGAGCUGCACAGUAAAGGGUUAAGAGAGACAAACUAAAAGAAGCCUUGUGAGCACUUCUGGCCAAACUAAAAGAAAACUUAAAAAAAAAAAAACAGUAGCAUCCCUACCAAUCUUUCUUCAAAAGUACAAUGGAGGAUGACCAAGGAACAGAAAGAACAGGGUCUAAAGUUGACAUUUUUAGAACCAUAACACAAUGGAACUUCAAAGGCAGCUGGAAGGGGAACCUUGGCAACAUUCAAAACCAUACCAAACUGAGUAACUGCUUUUAAGGAAGCCAAAGCAAUGGGUAACGACAGUGGCCUUAAAUAGGACCAGAACAUGCCAUAGUUCUGUAGACAAAGAAGAAGGGCCAAAAGGAGAGGUUUGAGCGGCUAACGACGGUGGCUGACAGUAGAGAAGGAGAAUACGGGAUCAACAGAGGCCAUUUCUGAUCAAGGAGAAGAAGCCCUAAUGGAGAAAGAGAAGGGAACGCAAGGGCUGGAACAAUCAAGUUGUCAAUACCGGAAAACAGGGAUUGAAAUGUGCCCAAAAGGAGACAACAAAGCUGUUAAAACUGGGUGCACAGUGCCGGAAGAAGCCAUUUCUGACCAAAGAAACGAAACCCUAAUAGAGAAAAAGGAGGAAACACGAGGCUGACACGUUCCAGGUGGUCAAAAUUAAAAAACAAGGGCUGGACCGUACCCAGGACUGGCCGACGAAGCGACUGGAGGUGGUCCGGAGAGGUUCCGACAACAGGAAGGCAGCACGUGGCCUUCACGUGCCGGAAAUGAUGCGUUGCUGAUCACGCGACGUGCAGGGGUCGGUCGCGCUCUUCGAGGUGCACCUAACCCUGGUUUUGCCAGAAAAUUUGACGGCGACCGGAGGCAACGGCGGCAGACAGCGGACGGCGGCCAUAGCAGGUCAUAACGGGAUCGUUCCUGCUCUGAUACCAUGUUGAAAAUUUAGAACUACAUUGCUUAAGGACUUGAGAUACUCCAAAACUUGAAUUUGAAUGAGUGGAGAUAAUUGUCACACUCAGCCCUUAGCUUUUUAUUAACACACACACACACACACACACACACACAUAUAUAUAUAUAGUACAGAGAAAGAGAGAGAGAAAGGGAAAACUGCCUUUGGAUAAGGAUUAGACACUCAACUUCCCACACACUCGACAUGACAACACAUAAAGCUUAAUACACACUCAACCUCACUCACACACUCAAAGCAUCCUUUUACCUACACAGCUAUCUACACAAUACAGUUGUAUACAAUAUAUAUUUAACAUAUAUAUAUAUAUAUAUAUAUAUAUAUAUAUAUAUAUAUUAAAUAAAAGUUGCAUUUUUUAUAUAUGUAUACUUUAGUUGUUUUAUCCUUGAGUCGGCCCUGCCUUUCAACUGGAUGAAAUUCUUAAUUCAAGAGUCAUAACCAGAAAUGUCAAGCUUAUUUCCCUCAUUCUUGUGAAAUGAUGUAUUCAACCAAUCAUUAAAGCUACUAGGGAAGAUGCAGAUGUUAUCAAAGGACAAUUUCCUUGUUUUAGCCUUAAGGACAAGGCUGCUUCUGCACCUGGGAGUAUUGAUAGCCUAGUCCAACAUGAUAUGACUGAAUUUUUGGAGACUGAAGGUCUUGUCAAAGUCUAUGUUAGAAGAAGAAAAAAAGGUGAUUGAUGGUUGUUAUGCAAGAGGACAAUUAUGUGCCUAGAAGGACAAUUUUGUGUGUUUUAUUUAUGUGUAUGGUGUGGUAGUUAUUAUUAUUCUGGGUGUGGUUUUUUUGUUGUGUGUUUGUGAGAGGACCAAGAGAACUCUCUAUUAGGGCUUAAACCUAUGUAAAAUGUUGCUUUACUUUAAUUCUGGUUUAAUCCAAACUUUCAAUAAAUAAAAUUCUUGUCUUAUUUGUGUGUUCGAACUCUUGAAUUUAAGCAAAAAACUCGAAAGAAUGAGACAAAACUGUGUUCUUUCGGCUGGAGAAGUCUCAUUAAAUCAGCUAAACUAACACAAUUAAGGGAGUCUAACUUAGUUAGUUAAGGAGGUGCAUGAGUUGUUAUAAAAAAAAUAACACACAUAUAGGCACAAACACAUAACAUACAUACAUCCUAAUUAAGGAGAGAAUAAAACAUUUACACAGUCCAAUUUUAGGUUUUGCUAAUUUAGCUACCAUACUAAAGCUUUUCUACAUAUACAUGAUAUAUAGACCCAAUAUUUGUUAGAGAAAACUUAGCUAGCAUACUAAAUGCUUUUCUGCAUAUAUAGAUUAUGCAAAUACAAAAUAGAAAACCUUUCCCUGACAAGAACCCAGGUACAAAUUAGAAGCUGCAAGGGCUGGGGCAGGGACAAGGAUAGUGUGUUUAGCAAUUUUCCCAUUGAAGAGUGUUGUCUUCCACCUCACUUUCUUAGAACUUGUAGUUGGGCUUGGGCUCCUUGAAGGAGAAAGAGUAGUAGUAGAACAUGAAGUUGCGCAGCCAUCCUCAUCUUCUCAAUCAGCGCUUCAGUAUUCACUUGCUUAGAUAAAAUUUCCUCAAGUUGUCUCGGGUCAAUCAACAACUUCACUCUCCACACCCCAUUCUUAGCUUUUGGCAGCACUUCAAGCGCUGACCCAUGUGACAAAUUGUCAACAUAAUCACAUGCUGCAGAUUUGCACAUUUCCUCUAAAGACGUGCUUCUUAAAGGGAUGGUAGCCUGUCAUGACCUCUACAAAUUCCUUGGCUUGCUUUAGUCAACUGGACAACAAUGCAAGGCCUCUUUCAGUGUGAAUACCAUUUCCUAUGGUAGCUCAAAACCUGUGUGAAGUGCUUGUUCAUCAAAUUCUACAACUUUUGUUGAUAGAAUGUGUCCUACUGUGUCUCAUGUAAACAUUGCCUUUACUAGCGCUAUUUGUUUUGGUAGUUGGCAUUUCAGAUUAGGUCAUCCAAAUGUUCAUAGUAUGAAAGUUGUGCUCAAAUUGUGUAACAUACUUUUUUAUCAAUACAACAGGUUCUGAUUUCUGCAUUGGCAAGUGUCAUUGUCUUCCCUCUUUCCCUUCCCUUACUCAGUACUCUAGUACCUUUGAACUCAUUCAUACAGCUUUGUAGCAUCCAUCCCCUUUCUUAUCCAGCGCUGAUUAUAUAUAAUAUGUAACCUUUGUUGAUGGUCACACUGACUUGGGUUUUUCUGUUGAAAUGUAAUUAUAAAAGUCUAUAAUCUGUUUAAAUUAUGGUGGGGGGCUAUUGGGAGUUCUAUUGCAAGCUCGAGGUGAGAAGAACAAGAUGUACUAUCAGCAGCACACAGAUUCUCAAGUUGUUGAUAAUCUCAUUGGUGUCAUCUUUGCUGCACAUGACACCACAACAAGUGCUCUAACAUGGGUCCUCAAGUACUUGCACGAUAACACCAAUCUAUUGGAAGCUGUGACGGUCACACUCUUUCUCUCUUUCAUUAUUCAAUUUUAUUUUCUCCAAUUAUUGCUUAAUUUCUCAUUUUUAUACACAUUUUUUUCAUCAUAUCAUCUAUAAUGUUUAGAACUUAAAUCAUAAUUAAUAUGAAUUUUAUAUUUUUUAUUAUUAUUAUCAAUCAAUUUACAUUAUAUGAUAAUAUGUGAUUGAUUAUGUAAAAAUUAAUCAUCUUUGUAUAUGUUAUUUACUCGUAAUAUUAAUUAUUAUUCCAAUUUUUUUAUAUCUUCUCUCUCACUUAAAGUACAUAUGCCCCCAAAGCUUGUCAACUCGUAAUAUUAAUUAUUAUUCCAAUUUUUUUAUAUCUUCUCUCUCACUUAAAGUACAUAUGCCCCCAAAGCUUGUCAACUCGUAAUAUUAAUUAUUAUUUCAAUUUUUUCUUUUCCUUUUUAUCUUUUGUGGAAAGUAUGGUUAUGAUAACUUCAGCUCAUCUCCAAGGCCUGAUUCAAAUUUAAUCUAGUUUUUAUUCUCAUUUUUUAAAAAUAAGAAUUUAAUUAAUAUCUCAAUCAUGCAUGAUUAAUUUUGUUAAAUAUUAGAAAGGUUGUGAAAUAAUUAUAAUACUACUAAACUGAAUUUCAUCAGGUGAUCCAAGAAACAUUGAGAAGUGCAAGCAUUUUGUCAUUCACAUUCAGAGAAGCAGUGACAGAUGUUGAGUUGGAAGGUUACACUAUUCCAAAUGGUUGGAAGGUCCUUCCACUCUUCAGAAGCAUUCAUCAUUCUGCUGACUUCUUCCCUCAGCCAGAGAAGUUUGACCCUUCAAGAUUGGAGGUAAAAUAUGUUGGAAAUUUAACAAUGAGUUUUAAAUUAUGAUAAUGGAGUAUAAAAUAAAAUAACUCAUGCAUAUAUAUCCUUAACAUAUAUGUGAUGUCAAAACCCAUUAUUGCAUUCUUUUUCUAAUCUUAUUGAUGAAUAUCUCUCUCCUUUUACACAUCCAACAACAAAAUAUCUCAUUUAUCUAACUUCAUAUAUAUAAGUGUGCACAAAUUAAAUAAAUGAAUAAAAUAAUACUACAUUAUAAUAAGAAUUCAAGCAAUGAUUUCGGGACUAGGGGUUAUAGAGGGUGGGGGGGGGGGGGUUAUAUUUUAUCUUUUACGUCAGAAACAUAAGGUUAUGAAUGGUUAGAGAUUAUCCUGCUGUAAAGUCCCAUUCGUUACCUAUUUGAAUCUUCCCCUUCUAAGGUGAUUCAGUGUUUUUCACAAUCUUGCGAGUAUCAGAGGCACGUGAUAUAAAUUUGUAGGGUAGUAGGAUAAUUAAUUUAUUUCUCUAUCCUUUUUGCUCAACAGCAGACAAAUAUUGCUACAUAUAUGAUAUUAUAUUAUUUAAUAAUAUAAUAUCAAUGCAUAAUUUUUUCCACUAAUAACAUACAUCAUAUUCAUCUGUAUGACAUAGUGACAUUAUCCUUAAGGUAUUUGUGUAGAAAUUAAGGCUGAGACAUAUAACCACGAGCAAAUAAUGCCUGAAAUAAAAACUUUGUAACUUAACCUUUCUUUGUAGGCAUGAUUAUUGUGACCAAUUAUAUAACAUUUUCCGUUUAUAGAGUUCAUUACAAGCUAAGAAUUAGCAUGGGUCUUGCAUGAACUUUUUUGCAAAAUUAGUUUGUUAGCUACGAUAGAGAUCUCUCAAUUAUAUAGUGCUAGCUGCAUGUUCCUUAAUAUAUGGAAAUGGUCCUUUUUGACGCAUUAAAAAAAAAGGGUUUCUUUUAGAGUGUACAUUCCAAAACAUUAUAGCCACUACUAGAAAAGUGAUUUUGAUAUUUGAGUUAGAUAUCUUUUGAUUUUGACAAAGGUUGAAUCAUAUAUGUUUCAGAUCUAUUGUUGUAAAUUUAGAUUUGGCUCAGAUCUCUUUUAUUUUGAUGAAGUUUGCUUCUUUUGAUAAAUUUUUGUACUUAAUUAUGUAAAUUGUUGUAAUAUGUAAUUAAAUGAUUUUAUAAUUGUUGAAAAUGAUGAUUAGAUUUUUGGUUUCCAUCAAUGUAUAAUUUGUUGCUUAAAACUACCUGACAACAAGGACAAAAAACCACAGAAAAAACCAAAAAAAUAUAAUAAAAUAGCACCAAUAAAAAAAAUUCAACUCUAAGACAAUUAUUAUAUACUUGUCUUAGAAUGGUGGACAAACUAAGUCGGUUAUUAAAUGAUCGUCUUAAUUUGUCAACCAUUCUAAGACGGUCAUUUUAAUAAUUGUCUUAGAUUCACAACUAUGAACAGGACAAUCUAAGACGGUUAUUAUUUAAUCGUCUUAGUAUCUCUAUCAUUCUAAAUCGGUUAAAGAGAAAAUCGUCUUAGAAAGUAGAGUAUACUAAGACGGGUUAGGUGCAAAAACCGUCUUCGUAGAUCUACCUAAAGGUCUUAGAAUAAUCAUCUUUCUAAGACGGUUCAACAACUGUCAUAGUAUAUGUGAUGCCAUUUUACGACAUGCUCUUUCAAGACGGUUAAAAACCGAUUUAGAACGACCUAAUCAACCAACUUAGAAAAUGCUAAUUCUAGUAGUGUUUGGUCAUCCAUGCAUCUGUUUUUAGGGAUUAUACAUUGAGAAAUGAUAAUGUCUAAAAGAAUUGGAAAAGAGCAUCUCAACAUUGCAUUAUUAGGGAUAUAAUGACUUUGUUGUGUCUUUGUAUAUAUCUUCAUACUUAAUUUUAUUUAUGAUUCAAUCUUUACAAAGGGAUUUGGGAGAGAUAAUACAUAAAUUAGUAGAUGUGGGUGAAAAUUGGAAAAGCAGUUAAUAGAGAAAAAUAUUAAUAUUGCAUCAAUGAUAGUUAGGCAUGCUAGGCUUCAACAUAAUUGCAUUUUGAAAUCAUCUUUUGUUCUCUUCUUGUUUAUUUUCUUGUUUAUUUUAUUAUUCUUGCCUUUUUAAAUUUAAUUUCUUUCUUUCUUCUUAUUUCUAUUCUACUUGCUCUUCUCUUGCUUAUGAAUUGGAUAUUUAUCAACACAAGUACAAACAAAGUCCUUGUGGACUUGAUACUCGAUCUUUCAUUUUAAUCUUUACUACUUGUGAUAAAAUUGGUACAUUUGUCAAUCUGUUAACAGUAACUUGAUAAUGCGAUUCGCAAGGCGUUCGAAAUUGGUUAGGUAUUCGUUCACUGUACCCCUCUAUGGCAGCUUGAACAACGAACCCUAAGGGUCAUCAUAAAAAGAUGGUGCAAAUCACGAUUCCAACACUUGAAGCAUGGUUGGCCAAGAGUAAGGAAACAAUUCUUGUACAUCCACUGAUACCACGAAAGGGCAGGGUCUUCCAUAUAGAAUGCGGCUACGGUGAGUCGUUCUGCUUCAGGUAUGCCUUGGUAGUCAAAAAAUUGUUGAAUUUUAAAAAUCCACCCAAGUGGAUCUUGCCAUGUCAAAUUUGGGGACCUCUGGCUUCAUGUGUGGUUUGGUGGACAGAGGAGGACGUGGUGGUGUUUUGGGUGAAGGUGGGGGAAUGGUGAGGGUGGCAAGCUGAUCCAGGAUGAUUUCAAUCUUGUUGUUCAACUCUGUGUGGCCUCUGGUGAGGUGAGCCAUUGCUUCUUCCAAACAUUCAAUUGAAGCUUGGCGGGUAUUGUGUUUCAGCAUAAAGGCACGGAAGGAGGAGCAGGUCGAACCAAAACCAAAAUGUUAGGUAAUUUUAUUCCACUGAUAAGAAAUAAAUUGUAAAGAUAAUUUUCCUGUCUAUUCUUAUUGAAACUUCAGAUAUUUAAAGGGUAACACAAUACUGCAAAGCACAAAACUAUAAAGCCGAUAAUGGACAUAACAGAAAUGCCACCUAAGGAAUAAUAGAAUUCCACUAAAGGAGUAACAGAAUUCAACUAACAGCCUAAUGGUUGUCUAUCAAAGGGAGAGGGAAUUCUCUAGCGGUAUCAGACAUAAUCCUCUAAAUGAGUGGGCCUUCAGGUUAUACUUUUGGGUCUGCUAUCUCCCUUGUUAGAAUUCCAAACAGUAAGUUGUAAUCUAGGAUUUCUCCAUGUCAAAGAUGAUGGAAGCUUGCUUGUGGGGCUUCUAUGGAGGCUGGAUCUUUGAGCUUCAAUGGGGUCCUUUAAUGGUGAUUUUCCACCAUGGGGAUGCAGCGGAAGACAAAGGAAAAGAGGUGAGAGGAGGCGCCAUCCAUUAAGGAAUAAGCCAUGGAAGAAAGAGCUUCACCACCAUGAUGAGCCUUGGAUAAGAAGCUUGGAGAGGAUGCUUCAAUGGAGGAAAAGAAAGAGGGAGAGAAAGAAAGAGGGGGGAGCACAAAAUUGAAGGAAGAAAAAGGGAGAGAAGUUGAACUUUGUGUUGUGUCUCACAAGACUCUCAUUCAUCAAAGUUACAACAAGUGUUACACAUGUUUCUAUUUAUAAACUAGGUAGCUUCCUUGAGAAGCUUUCUUGAGAAAACUUCCUUGAGAAGCUUCUUUGAGAAAACUUCCUUGAGAAGCUAGAGCUUAGCUACACACACCCCUCUAAUAACUAAGCUCACCUCAUUGAGAAGCUUCCUUGAAAAGAUUCCUAAAGAAGCUAGAGCUUAGCUACACACAUCUCUCUAAUAGCUAAGCUCACCUCCUUGAGAUGAGAAGCUAGAACUUAGCUACACACCCCCUAUAAUAGCUAAGCUCACCCCCAUGACAAAAUAUAUGAAAAUACAAAAAAAAAAAGUUCCUACUACAAAGACUACUCAAAAUGCCUCGAAAUACAAGGCUAAAACCCUAUACUACUAGAAUGGCCAAAAUACAAGGCCUAAACGAAGGAAAAAACCUAUUCUAAUAUUUACAAAGAUAAGCGGGCUCAUACUUAGCCCAUGGGCUCAAAAUCUACCCUAAGGCUCAUGAGAACCCUAGGGCCUUCCCUUGGAUCUCUGGCCCAAUCUACUUAGAGUCUUUUAUCCAAUGCCCUUGCGGGGUAGGGUUGCAUCAUUCCCUCCAUCUUGGAAAGGAUUUGAACUCAAAUCCCGAGGUUCUUCAUACUUUGGGCUCCUUCCCUCAACACCUGUAAAAAGAACAAAAACAUAUGUAUUAGUGGUGUUUGGUAUGUUGAAGUAAGGUAAGGUCUGAAAACCCAUUUCCUGGGCAUCUUCCCAUGAAGGAACAUGGUUUCUCACCAACUCAAUGAGUGGUGCUACAAGUAUAGAAAAAUAUGGGACAAACCUUUUGUAAAAGUUUGUUAAGUCAUGGAAGCCCCAAAUUUUUCUUAUACUUGGUGGAGUGGGCCACUCAGGAAUGACCUUUAUUCUCUUAGGGUUCAUGGGAACCCCUUGAUCACUAUUUGAAAAAUUAAGAAAAGUAACGCAAUAAAACAUACCUUUUUCUGUAUUUUCAUAUUGAUUAUUCCUACCAAAAAGUAUGGCAAACCUAAGGUGUCCCAUAUGAGUACCUAAGUUUGUAUUGAAACUAAAAAUAAGAAAAAACCUAUCUAAUGGGUCCCUAUGUACACACACCAUGAAGAUGUUAGGUGUACGAGUGAUUUUACAAAAGAGGGUUGUACCACUCAAAACAUUUAUCAUACCACCUAUUUUAGGGACUUGGUGCCUAAUAAUACCUAUUUUAGGCACCAAAAAAGCACAAGGAUUUAAGCUCUUGCAAACCAAACCCUCAUCCAACAACUUCUUUACUUGAGGAAUAAACUCAAGUCCAAGAGGUGUGGCAAUGCUAGCAAGUGUCUUUAUACAAAAGAGAAAAUGUGGAGAUUGUCUAAGAGGGAAAGUUUCUUUAAUGUUUGUCUUUAUUGUAAAAUGAGUUUGCUUCUUAGCUAACCUCUUGGAGGAGACACUUACCUCCUUACACUUCUCUUUAACCACUAAUGGUUGUCCAUCUUCUUGGGGGUAGAUUUCUUCACUAGAUUCUUCCCCUUUUGCUUCUUCACUUUCACUAGAGGAAGGUGAAGUAAUAGCCUCAUCUUGGCUACUAUAAAUGUCUUGGCCCCUCAUAAUCAUGGUUUUUGUGGUGGGGCAUUGAGAAGUAAUGUGUCCUCUUCCAAGACAUUUAAAGCACUUUAUAGAGCUAGUUUUCUCUUGCAUACUAGCCUUAGGGGCUUGCUUUUCUAUUGCCUUCCCCUUAUCAUCUUUGGGCUUAGAAGGUUUCACCCCUAAGAUGCCUUGACCUUGGUCUUUCUUUGGAUAAGAGUGAGAGCCAUAAGAUUUUGAAGUAGACUUCUUUUUAAGUUGUUGCUCUACCCUUAUUUCCCAAUCUAAGUUAGCCUCUACAUUGUCCUUCCCAUGGAAGUAUGAGAGGUUAAUGUUAGCCUCUUGAGGCUUUCUUUCCUUUUCUCUUCUAUGGGAGUGAGGUCUAAGAUGUGACCUAUGUCUUCCUUCGUAAUAGUCACGAAGUUCUUCACUUAGGCUCUUGCAAGAGUUAUGACUACUAUAGGAGGCAUGUUUUUCUCUUUUCAUUUCUUUCAUUAUUUUUCUUCUUUCUUCCUCUCUUAUUUUCUUUCUUUCAUCUUGACUUAUUUCUUCCACUCUUCUUUUUUCCUUUUUCUUUUCUCUCUUGUUUUUCUUUCCAUAACUUGAGGGAACUUAAAUCAUCUAAGAUUCUAGAUAAAGGGUCUUUAUGACUAGUACCCUUGCCAUUAACACUAGAUGAAUGAUGACUCAUGUUGGUUCCUAAGUUGUGGUUCUUUCUUGUUGGAGGUUUGAAAACAAAAGGUAAAAGAAACUAUGGUUGAAACUAGCCAAAAUAAACACUAAAAGAGGUGUGAAAGAUAAGGUAAAAACUAAUUGGUAAAAUGCAAGCUAUCUAGGCGGUUUGACAAUGGAAAGUAAAAGAAAUAAGCUACGAAAGUAAGCAAGAAAUGUAAAUUAGGCGAAUCCUAAGAGUGUUUGGAUGACCACAUUUAAGGUUCCCAACAAAACACUCACAAUCCUAAGGGAAAAUUGCCUAAAAUUAUUACACACAAAAAGAAGUAGGGUGACCUAUUGGAGGCUCCCAACUUACUUCCAACGAAAGGCCUUUUUGUUACAAAAUUUGAAAGCAAUGAAAGUAAAGUAAAUUGUCAAUUACAAAAUUGCAAAAAGGUCCUCAAUUUUGGUGGUUUUUCUCUCUUUGGUGAUUCACUCAAUUUGGAGUGCUUCUUAGUCCAAUAGCUCAUAAGGUGAUUGGCCCCUUGCUUCUUGACUCAAAUUCUUCAAGGGAUGGCACCAAUCCUCCUUUCCAAUUCCCUAUAUGGCAACUUACAAACAAGGAAACAAAGAGACAACAAUAACCAAAGACCAAAAAAUGAAAUGAAAGUUAAACCAAUGGAAUUUUAACAAGACAUUUUUUUCUAGGAUUAUUCAACAAUUAAAGCAAUGAAAAGGACAUAGAAGCAAGUUAGGACUCAAAGAGAAACUUAGAAUGGCUCUAGAGUAGAGUAAAAAAACUAAAAAAAAGACUCAACAAAACUCUAGCUUUGGCACUUGUUUUCACACUAAUUUUCUAUUGAAAUUUCGGAACUAAGAUUGGUAUAACAUAGGCACCAAUUAUAGAAUAAAUUUUGAGCCAAAACAACAAGCACACUUCCCUUUCACUUUUUUUUUCCUGGAUACUGAUUUUUCUGCCAACUUGUGUGAUUUUUAGUAUUUUUUCCUUUUAUCCAAAUCACUUUUUUCUUUUUGUAUAAAUUUUUUACAGAUGUCUAGAAAAUUCAGUAAAAAUUUCAGCUCAAAAUUCGAUGUAACAAAUUCUCAGUAAUUUUUACAAGUUUAUAUGUCCAAGCUGCCAGCACCAGCGAUUUUUUUUUAAGCAUGGUAUAUUGAUUGCCUUGGGCUUACUUUCAACCUUACUAUGUAUGUAGAACUCACUAAUCUUGUUUACCACAGUUUUAGGAGUUCAAUAUUCACUUAGGAAUAAAAUUUCAGCCAGCAAUUCAAUCACCAAAACUCAAAUUCACAAUAGACACAAUCAUAAGGAAACCUAAAAGUUCAAGAAAAGGUUCACAAUCAAAGACUUUCUAAGAAUUUUGCAUGAACAUGUUAAGGACUAAUUAACAUGCAAGAUUUGACUCAAAUCAAAUAAUAGGCUAAAAGAAUUUCAUACACUCAUGAACAAAUGAGUUAGACAAAGAAACAAGAAAAUAAAAUUCAGCACAACAUAAGAAAUCUUAUGUGACAAGUUUCAUGAUAGACAUGACUUCUAUGACAAAACUACAAUAGGUGAACAAGUCACUCUAGAUUUUUGAGGUUUUCUUCUACUUUAAUAUUUUUGUAAGAAUUUUAUGGUUUAGGUUUCAGCCAAAAAAAAUAACAAGACAAAACUCAAAGGAACCUAAACUCAACAUAAUUCAUGGUUCAAGAACAAGAACAAGAAAUUUGAACCAUAGAAAAUCAAAUCUAGCUUCUAUAGCAAGUUUAAUCGGUGGAAACUCUAAAGAAUCAUGUUAACAACAUUUAGCACAAGACAUGUGAGGAGAUACAUGGAGAAAAAUGAAGAAACAACAAUGGAAGAGAAGGUAAAGCAAAAAAUUUAAUGGAGGUUUAAGGAGCACCUACUUGAAGCUCUUGUGCUCUGAUUACCACUUGAUGGAAGCUUGCUUGUGGGGCUUCUAUGGAGGCUGGAUCUUUGAGCUUCAAUGGGGUCCUUUAAUGGUGAUUUUCCACCAUGGGGAUGCAGCGGAAGACAAAGGAAAAGAGGUGAGAGGAGGCGCCAUCCAUUAAGGAAUAAGCCAUGGAAGAAGGAGCUUCACCACCAAGAUGAGCCUUGGAUAAGAAGCUUGGAGAGGAUGCUUCAAUGGAGGAAAAAAAAGAGGGAGAGAAAGAGAGAGGGGGGAGCACGAAAUUGAAGGAAGAAAAAGGGAGAGAAGUUGAACUUUGUGUUGUGUCUCACAAGACUCUCAUUCAUCAAAGUUACAACAAGUGUUACACAUGUUUCUAUUUAUAGACUAGGUAGCUUCCUUGAGAAGCUUUCUUGAGAAAACUUCCUUGAGAAGCUUCUUUAAGAAAACUUCCUUGAGAAGCUAGAGCUUAGCUACACACACCCCUCUAAUAACUAAGCUCACCUCCUUGAGAAGCUUCCUUGAAAAGAUUCCUAAAGAAGCUAGAGCUUAGCUACACACACCUCUCUAAUAGCUAAGCCCACCUCCUUGAGAUGAGAAGCUAGAACUUAGCUACACACCCCCUAUAAUAGCUAAGCUCACCCCCAUGACAAAAUACAUGAAAAUACAAAAAAAAAAGUCCCUACUACAAAGACUACUCAAAAUGCCUCAAAAUACAAGGUUAAAACCCUAUACUACUAGAAUGGCCAAAAUACAAGGCCUAAACGAAGGAAAAAAACCUAUUCUAAUAUUUACAAAGAUAAGCGGACUCAUACUUAGCCCAUGAACUCAAAAUCUACCAUAAGGCUCAUAAGAACCCUAGGGCCUUCCCUUGGAUCUCUGGCCCAAUCUACUUGGAGUCUUCUAUCCAAUGCCCUUGCGGAGUAGGAUUGCAUAAAAAGAAAUGCAAGAUUGUUCAUGUGUUGAAAUUUUGCUAUUUCAAUUAAUAAAUAUAUAAAAGCAUCUUUGUAUUCUUCGAAGUUAUUACUCCCUAAGAUUAAGAAACUUGAAGCACCGCGCACAUAAUAUGCAAAAGCAGCAACUCUUGCCGUGGAAUAACUGGGUUGGCUUUACGUCAAUAUUUGCUUAUUAACUAGUGUUUUUAUUAUAGGAAACAAGCUCUUAAUUUGGACAAAGAACAUGGGACAGGACCUAAACCGAAGUGGGUCACUGAAAUGGUGCAAUCCAAAUGAAAUGCAAAAGCUGAAUCCCCUGUAAUAAUUACACAAUCUGUCCAAUUGCUUUUAUCUAGAGAGCCUUAAAGCAGUCUUUCUAAUUGUUACUUUAUUGCAAAUGAAGUGCACGAUGGAUCUGUAAUUGAAAAUGCUACUGCACAGUUUAAUACAAAUACAAUGGAUAAAAACAAAAUGAAUGUAAAAGUAAGGAUUCUAAUCGGUUGACAUAAUUAUCUUUGUCCCAAAUGUAAUUUUGUAACUGCAAAACAAAACAUAUUCAAAUUUGGCCAAAUAUCAAACUUUGAGAAAUUAUUAGGAAAUUUAAGAGCAACAAGUGUCUAUGCAUGUUCUCAACCAAUGUUUGCGCAACACAUUCAAAAUGUAUAAAUUAUAAGAAAUAAUUAAUAACACUUUGCUUGCUUCACGUCAUGUGACGUUUAAAGAGUGAUUAUGUGAUUCAGAAUUGCUUAAUUUCUCAUACAAUGCAUGUAAUUUUUAGAAGAAACAAAAUAGUACGUAAAGACCAUUUCUCUUCCUUUUAUUCCAGGUUGCCGUAAUUUUGUGUGAGUAAUUAUCGCUUUUCGAUUUCUCGUUUUAUUCUCUUUCACAAAGAUAUAUCAGAGUUUGUCUGUGGCAUCAUGCUUUAAUCAAACCAACUUAAAAUUCAUGUAUAUAAAAAGAAAAACCAACUUAAUAUUCAAAAUUUUCAUUUGCCUUUUGUUUCUAAAACUGCUACCUUUCUUUCCUUUUUUUUUAUCUUUAUCCAAAAUUUAUUAAAUAACAAUCUCGCGUAGUUUGGGGAGGCACAAACACACCCAUUAUUUAGGCUCCUUCCCUCUAUCUUGUUUUUAUUCUCACUUACACUCUAAGGCAACUUUUCUCUCUUUACGUAUACUCUCCUUUCUCUGCCCAUAAAAAAUUGACACACUUUAAUUAAUCACCCACUCACAUGCGCAUGUUCUGACACACACACCAAAAUCUCUCAUCAGUAAACUUCAAUUCAGAGCGUGUUUGUCCCCGUUCAAGACACAGGAUCUCCGUCCAAGCACAAGCUAUCAAGUGUGUGUUUGAUUUGAUGUUAGAAAAUAUUAUAAAUCUAAAAUUGAUAUUAGAUUGAAUUUUACAUGUUUAAUUUUAUGUUAAAAAAAUUAUAAAAUUAAUUUUAGAUUUAGAAUUGAUUCUAAAUUAAUUAAAAUAAUUUUAAAUAAUUUAUUAAAUUAAUUUUACCAACAGUGUAAGAAUAGCUUCCUAACUUUUUUUCAUACCAAAUGGGAAGUUGACGUGGUUUUGAAGUGAAAGUAUAUAUGUUGACAGUAAAAAGUUUCCACCCACAGCACUCUCACUGGCCUAACAAUAUUUACUGACCCUCCCACGUACUUAUUGUCUUGGCAACCAUUUCUUCAAUUCGAAAUGUCUCAUUUUCAUGCACAUAGUGAUCAUAGUGCUGCUGUGCAAAUGCCACUAGCAAGACUUCAUCAUUGCACCAGUAGCAACCAAGGCAUGCAUAUAUGUCCGUUUAGUUUUGGUACCAAAGAGCAACCAAAGUCUGAGAAUUUAUGCCUUGGAGAAGCUUCACGAAUUCUUUUGGAAAAAUCCGCUAAAUUAACAAUCUUCAAACACUCGAGAUCAGAAUAUAAAAUAGAGAAAAUUUGUAUUUUCUGAUUGAUUGAUUCUGUACAAAGGGUCCUCAAAUAUGUAGGUACAAGAAUCGGCUUAAAAAUUCCUCAAAAAAAUCGGCUAAAAAAUCCCUCAAAAAAAAAUAGGCUAAAAGUGAGAAAAGAAUAAACUAAAUCUAAAGGUAUGAUCCUAGUUAAUUGCAUAAUAUCAGUAAAUCUCCUUAAAAUAGGCUAUAAUAAUGAAAACAAUAAAAAUAAAAUGUAGAUAAAGCAAAGCCAACCAAAUCUAUACCAUAUCUCCAAAUGAGAGUCCCUAUCAUAUAAUAUCCCAUAAUUUUCAUAUCUCAAAAAAAAAACAAAAAGCAUAUUAGCCCAAACAUCACCCGUAGUCCCCACAUGAGCACAAACCACUUUUUAAGUGGUGAAAUCCCUUUCGAAGCAUCAAUGUUAAAUUGUACGUUAAUGUAUGUCCUUAUCACAUAACUAAAUGCAUGUUAAAUCAUGUGCAAAACCAGGUUAGAAAUCGGAAGUACUUUCACCCACUAAGACACACAGGGGAUCUUUAUAUAUAUAUCGUGAGAGAUGAACUGAAAGAACAAUAAGACACGAGAAACUAUAGGUUCAAAGACAGGUUGUCUUCAACGAUAGAUUAUUCGAAAAUUAUCUUUAUCAUCAUUUCCUAUAAUUAUAAAAACUAGACACACAUUACGCGUGGCGCGGGUUUAUAAAUAAUUAAAGAAAUAUUUAAAUAAAUUAUUUGUUUGAUAAAUUAAAUUUAAAAAUAUAAUUAUCAAUGAUAUUUCAUAUCAUUUUUUGUUAAAUGCGACAAAAGAAUUAUGUAUAAAUUAAAAUAUUUUUUAUAUAUUAAUAUAUUUAUAAGAAAUAUUCUAAAAUCAGAGAUUGACCAUUCAAUUAAAGUUGAUUAACGCGAAAAUAAAAAUAAGCGUUGAGUAUAAAUUUUAUGAGGGUAAUAUAAGAAUAAAGUGAAAUUGACAUAAUAAAGCAGUCAAAGAAAUAUAUUUAAUGAAAGAAAAAUAAUCAAUCAUAAUGGUAAAAAAACAUAAAAAUGAUACAAAUAAAACACCAAAAAUUAUUCAUUUAAAUAGACUUUUUGUAUCUUUUGAUGAUGAAGAUGUAUCUUUUGACUUCUUGGAUGGUUGUACCUUUGGACUUUGACUUCUGACAAUUUGUUUAUUCGCCUUUUUUUUUAAUGGACUUUGUGAAAUUUGAUAGACUUGUUCAUUAGAUGAUGAAGAUGUACCUUUUGACUUAUUAGAUGUUUGUAACUUUGGCCUUUGACUUAUAAUUAGUUUUUCACCUUACUCAUCUGAUGAUAUUUGUUGUGGUGAAGUAGGCUUCUUUUUUAAUAAAAAUAUUAAUCAGUGUACAAAACUAUUAAUAUUUUGUACAAGAAGUAAAAAUGAAAAUAAAUUAUAAAUAUGGUUACAUGUUCUUGAGGAGAGAAUCAUGUUGAAUGAUAUUUUUUGAGAUAAAAGUACUUGUGACGGUUUCAAAUCCUUCCUUCAAGUUGUGAGCAUGAUUUCAAAAAUAGAAGUAUAUUUGCAAAGGAUAUACGAUAUUGGGGUAUGUCAGUCUUAUUUGCACUUUGGGUGUGAAGGAAUUCAAAUGUUGCGAUGUUUAUAAUUUGUUGUGCAUCUCGAUCAAACAUUCUGAAUGUUGCUACAGCUAUGUCAUUAGAGACUUUCAAUUGUAUCCUCAACCUAAAAGAUAUUUUUAAAAUUUUAAUAUUUAUUUAAUUAUGUUAUAAAAAAUAAUUCAUUAUAUACAAAAUAUUAAAUCUUGUUGUUGGAUACUUGGAUGGUUGUUUGCAUUCUGUACAAGUGUAUUGAUUUUCCUCUUUUGUAACUUUCUUUUGGCAUCUCUCACAUGCAACAUAAUUCCAACCAAACGUAUAGUUGAUCUCAUUGAUUGUUGCAUGAAUUGUGAACAUAUUAUCCUGUUAUUUUAUAUAUGUUAAAACUAAGAAAAAAAUAAAGUAUUAUUAAAUAUGAAUAUGAAGGUCAUGGUAGGUUAGCAUACUUGUGAUUCUUAUAUUCAUUCUUAUAUCUUGCAAAUAUCUUCUAUUUUUUUACAUUCUCUUGUCAAGAUCAAUCUUGACCGAACUUGAAGAAUUAUAUACAUAAAGAAAAGAAAAGAGAUAGAGUAGUAAGAUAUAUAAAGUGUAAAAUAUAAAUUUUGUUAAAGAUUUUAAAUGUGUGAAAGUAAUCAAACCUCUGAAUUUCUUAACUAUGAUAAAAGUGAUUGUAAUUAUCUUUGAGUCUUCUUCUUAGAUGUUGAUUGUUUUUUCAAAUCCUAAGACUAUGUUUGCCACAAGUAACUUUAACAAUUUCAUUCUUGAAAAUAACCGAUAAAAAAAAGAUGUGAAAAUAUAAUGUUCUAUAUUACAUUCUUCAUUUCCAUGUGAAAAUAUAAAGAAAUAUAUAAUGAAUUCUACAAAAUUAUUACUUAAACAAAAUUUAUAAUUAAUGAUAAAGAAAGGGUAAUUUAUUUACUCUUUUAGUAGCAAUUUCAAUCUCCUUAUUUUUGUUGGUUUGUCAGUGACAAGUACAUCUUCUUCAUUUCCAAGUGCAUGAAGUGUACUAAUAAUGUCAAUAAUAAAAUAUGAGAUAUGAUAGAGUGAAAUAAAUUAGUAAUGCAUUUGCAAAAUAUUAAUGUUGUACUUGUUAAGACAACUCUAUCAUCCAUCUUUGAUCUAGAGUUUUCAUUGAACCAAACUCAACAUAGUGUAUUGGAUGCUAAUGGAUAUGUUAUUGAUUUUCUUGACAAUAGUAGUAAGUAAAAAUAAUCUUUUGAACGAAAAUGCAAAUCGGAUUAAAAUUAAAAAUAUUAAAUAAAUUUAAUCAAUAUAAAAUCUGUUUAAAGUAAUUUAAUUCAAUUUUUUUUUUUUGCAUUUUGUAAUGUGUAAUAUUGGAGAUAGCAAAUAAAAUUAUAUUUGUAAUACUUAAAGUUGAUGUGAAAUAUAUUUCUUUAAAGACUAAUGUGAAAAAUAAAUAAAUUUCAACUUUGUUUAACCAACAUAUUUUUUUAUAGAUUAGUUUGAAAACUAAUUUUAGAUCAUGAACUUUGUUGAUGUGAAAUAUUUAUUUUUUAUAUAUCUUUAUAGAGCAGAAAAUAUAUUAGAAUUUAGAAAUUACUAAUAUGAAAAAAUUGAAUGAUAUGUAAAAUGUAAAAGAAAGUGAUUAUAAAAUACAAUAUAGAACAUUGAAGAAUUUGGGUCUUGAACAUGAGAAGCAUUUGGAGAUCAGUAAGAUUGAAUUGAAAUGAUUUGGUAUAGAUUUUGUUAUGUUGUGAGUAACAUUGAAAAAGAAAGAAUGAAAAGAAAAGAGACGUGAUAAGUACAAAAGUAUAAUGUUCUCCUUCCUCCAUAUCAAUUUUGCUGACAUGACAAUAUAAUAGUCAGGAGGUCAACUUUUAUAUAAAUUAAUUUUAGAUCAUGAACUUUUUUUAUGAGAAAUAUUUAUUUUUAUUUAUAUUUAUAGAGCAUAAAUAUUAAAAAAUAGAAAUUACUAAUAUGAAAAAAUUGAAUGAUAUGUAAAAUAUAAAAGAAAAUGAUUAUAGAAUGUAAUAUAGAACAAAGAAUGAGAGUCAUGAACAUGAGAAAAAUUUGAAGGUCACUAAUAUUGAAUUAAAAUAUUUUGGUAUAAAAUUUUAUUAUGUUGUGAGUAACAUUGAAGAAGAAAGAAAAAAAAAGAUUGACCGACACAAAAGAAGAAUAUUCUCGUUCUUCCAAGUCAUUAAAUUUACUUACUUAAUAUGAGGAAUUCAACUUUUAUAUAUUAUAAAUAAAUUGUCAAUAUAUUAUUUUUAAGAGAUUUAUCACAAUCAUAGUUGGUACUUCCUAAAUAAUAUUUUUUAUAGUAGUGUAUUUUUAGUUACUUAGAUGGCAUUACUAGGGAAUAUUUUGGUUAAAUGAAAUAGAAUAAAAUAAAUUUUAAAAAAAUAUUUAAAUUAAAAUAACAUGAUUAAAGUGUGAGACUCGUUGAAAUUUCUGAAAAUUUUCCUUUUUUUCUUUGUAGAGAAAGUAUAAAAAAACAAAUUGACUUCUAAAAUUUUUCAUAAUUUCUUUGACUUUCUUUCCCAUUAAAAUUUGAAACUUUUUUUUUCCUCUUGUUUUCCUUUCUUCAAAUCAAAAGGAUCAUAAGGUCUAAUAGCUUGAAUAUUUCAUCACAAUUCUGCCACCCGUGAAGACGAUAGAUGGAGAAAAAUUGUAAGAUGUAAUAACGUUCCCACGUACGGGGACCAGUGCUAUUGUAUACUAUUUCCAUGUUGUACAGUUCAAUUCUAUUAUUACGAUUUGUGAUGUAAUCCCUUACAUCACUUCUAAAUACUAAACUCUAAGCAAUUAAUUAACGAUGGAAGUCUUCUCGACAGCGAAGGUAUUUUUUUUUUCUAUUUGUUUCUGGAUUGUUCUCAUGAUUUUAGUGCAAAAAAAAAAAAAAAAACCUAAUACAAAAUAAUUCUUAGUCAACAUCGCGUAGGCUGAAUAUUAUAUUAUACUAAAAUAUUGUACUAAAAUAAUCUUUCUAGCUCUAUAUAUAGCCCACCAAGCCUUAGCAAUUUGAGAACAAAACAAGUGUUUCGAAUAGAUUAUCCUAAGUCUUUGGGAAUAGUGCUGCAAUGGCUUCAAGUCAGGAGGAGGUGACCCUUUUGGGAGCUACUGGAAGCCCAUUUGUGUGCAGGGUUCAUAUUGCCCUCAAGUUGAAGGGAGUUGAAUACAAAUAUGUCGAAGAAAAUUUGAGGAACAAGAGUGAACUGCUUCUCAAAUCCAACCCAGUUCACAAGAAGGUUCCAGUGUUUAUUCACAAUGAGAAGCCCAUAGCAGAGUCUCUUGUGAUUGUUGAAUACAUUGAUGAGACAUGGAAGAACAACCCCAUCUUGCCUUCUGAUCCUUACCAAAGAGCCUUGGCUCGUUUCUGGUCCAAAUUCAUUGAUGAUAAGGUAAUUCAACUUUUCUUCUUUCCUUGUUUUGUUCUUAUUUGUCCCCUAAACACCACCUUUCAUGAUAUCUAUUUGUAUGUUGGAAUAAGUUAGAGAAACAUUUAAAAAAAAAAUUGAAUAAAUUCUAUUCAUUAAUUGUAACAACUUUGUCUAAAAUCGUAUUAAUUGGGGUGGGGUAUUAUAUAUGUUUCACAGUUGGUUGUACAGAAAUAUCAGCAACACAAUUUUUAACAUGCCUUUUUUUCAAUCAUUUUCUAUUAUUAAUUAAAAUUUAUUAAAAAUAACAAGUUUAAGUGAAUCACACUUUUAAAUCUUUCCUAAUCUUGUAAUUUUUAAUCAACUUUAUUCAAUAGUAUAGUUGUUAGAAAGAGUGUAGAGAUUGUUUUGCUAGCAGUUAGCACUACUUUUUAUGCUAUAUAUAUAACCCAGUUAAGUCUGUCCUAAUUAUAAUAUAAAUUAAGCACUAAUAAAUACUGUGAUUUAUGAAAUAGGUUUUUGGUGCUGCAUGGAAAUCCGUUUUCACAGCUGAUGAGAAAGAGCGUGAGAAGAAUGUUGAGGAAGCAAUUGAGGCUCUGCAGUUUCUUGAGAAUGAGAUAAAGGACAAGAAGUUCUUUGGAGGAGAGGAGAUUGGGUUGGUAGAUAUUGCUGCUGUCUACAUAGCAUUUUGGGUCCCUAUGGUUCAAGAAAUUGCAGGGUUGGAGUUAUUCACAAGUGAGAAAUUUCCUAAGCUCCACAAUUGGAGCCAAGAAUUUUUGAACCAUCCAAUUGUCAAAGAAAGUCUGCCCCCUAGAGAUCCUGUUUUCUCCUUUUUCAAGGGUCUCUAUGAAAGCCUUUUUGGUUCAAAAUAGAUUUGAUGAUGUGGUGUGAGACUUAGUAUUUCUAAGAAUUAUGUGUUUGUUAAAGGCUUCUAUGAAAGCCUCACUGCUUCAAAAUAGAUUCAUGUAUGUGAGACUCAGAAUCUCUGGGGAAAAUUGUGUGUGGUGUGGACUACUUGUUUUGUUUGUCAUUGAGCUAUAUUGCUGUUAAUUAGGAUUUUGUUUCAAAAUGAUGCUUAUAAGUUGUAAUCUAGGAUUUCUCCCUUUGAAAUCCUAGGUUGUUCUUGACAUUUGCUAUUUCAAAGAAUAAAUAUAUAGCAUCUUUCUAUUUCUCAAAGUUCUUUCUCUUUAUGAUUUAGAAACUUGAAGCAAAGCUGUGUUUGCAAUGAUUGGAAUUUCUUUGCCAGAUAUUAUGAGGGACAUUGCGUAUAAUAAUGUACUAAUUGCAGUGGUAAACUAUUGCCAUGGAAAGAAUAAUCGAUUAUUGAUUCAUACUAGAACCCAAAAGUUCUAAAGAUCAAAAGAAUCAAUUAUAAUUAAAAAUAAUCAAUUAAAUAUGUUUGAAAUUGUUGCAACUGGUUUUCAAACUUGACUUUUCCUUUCAUUUUUCACUUGCCUAUAAAAGGUUAACUUUCAUGUGAUAGUGAGAGAGAGUAAUUUCAAAUUUUACAAAAGAAAAACUUCAAAAAAAUGAAAAAAAAAUAUUUUAUCAAAAUACAAAAAAUAAAAGAGACAAAAUUAAAUUUUACAAAAGAGAGAAAAGAAUGAAAAUUUGUAUUUUAUAAAAUUUUACCAAAGAAACACCUUCAAAAAGAAUAUAUAAAAAUAAAAGAGACUAAAAAAAACACAAUUUAUUUACAUAUAAUUUUAUCAAAGAGCGAGAGACUGCAGUUUUCUAAUUACACAAAAAAAAAAUGCACCCUUACUUAUAAGUAAGUCCACCACUGCCUUCAACAUUUCUGAAUAAUUAAUAACUCAAAACCAUUGUAUAGCAAUACAGAUAAUUAUACCUUUAAUAUUUUUAGUUACUUAAGAAUCUUAGAUGACAUUAUAAAGUUUAAAAUGAUUAUUAUAAUUUAAUUUGGUAAUUAUAAUUAAAUUCUUUUUUCAUAGGUAGAAUAAUUUAUCACAAUUCUGCAGACAAGUGAAAACGAUAGAACUGUACUACAUAAGAUAACGUUCCCACGCUUAUAAUGUGAACCAGUGUUACUGUGUACAAUUUCCAUUUUGUACGGCCCGAUUCUUUUAUUAGGAUGUUGCUGAUGUGAUCCCUUGCAUCACUUCUAUUCUAUCGACAAUGGAGUCAUCCCCACGCUGCUUUUUCAAUUAUUGUUUCUGGGAACAUGCGAAUAUCUAUUUAACUAUUCACAUCUGUAUGCAUUAAGUUAUGAGAAAAAAAGGAAGUAUAUUUACUUACAAUUCUUUUUAACACAAACUAAAUGAAAAGGAAAAAUUGAAGUUUGUGAUAAGAUAUCAUAGCAGUGUGUGGAAAGUGGAAACACUAAAAAAAAUUAUUACAGAAUGUAUUAUAAUGGUUUUAGAAUAUGAUACUUAUUCUUAAUUUAUCGAUGCCUCCUUACCGCACUUUAUAGUCAACAACGCGUAAACUGAAUAUUAUAUUAAAAGUGAAUUAAGUUUUUAGUCGUGAAAAAUAAGGGUUUUGAAUUUUUUAUCCUAAACUAUUUUCUUAAAAUAUUUGUUCCUUAAAUAAUUUUCAUUAUUAUAAAUAGUAUCUACAAUUAAUAAUUUUUGUUAAGUGUUGAGUUAUUAUUUAAGUGAUCACAAACAUCAUCAUAGAUUAUAGAUGAGGAAAAUAAAUUCUUGUUCAGUGUUGUACAUCUUCUCGUGAGUAAUUAUAGUAUAUUCAUAAAUGUUUAAAGCGUUCGAAUUUAACAAUAAUUCUUCUAUCUUUCUUUUAUAUUUUAAUAAUAUAAUAUUUUAAUUAUUUAUUUAAACAUAAUAAAUACGUGACAUGUAUGUGAUAUUUAUAUUUCAUGAUAUUUUAUCGGUUAACAGAAAUGUUAAAGGCAGAAAUUAUUUUUUGAAAGAUAAAUAUUUUAAGAAUUAAAUUUUAAAAAAAUAAUUUGAGAACCAAAACUUUAAAAUCUGAUAAAGGAAUAAAAAUUUAAUUAAUCCUUUAUUAAUUUAAUCUUCCUAGCUCUAUAAAACCAGAAGCGAUGGGAGUCUAUGACCAAAAUAAAUCUCUUGAAUUGAUUGUUUUAAGACUUUGGAAUUGAGGUGCUGCAAUGGCUUCAAGUCACGAAGAGGUUACCCUUUUGGGAGCAAUUGCAAGCGCAUUUGCUUGCAGGGUGAAGAUUGCCCUCAAGUUGAAGGGAGUUAAAUACAAAUAUGUGGAAGAAAAUUUGAGGAACAAGAGUGAACUGCUUCUCAAAUCCAACCCAGUUCACAAGAAGAUUCCAGUGUUUAUUCACAAUGAGAAGCCCAUAGCAGAAUCCCUUGUGAUUGUUGAGUACAUUGAUGAGACAUGGAAGAACAACCCCAUCUUGCCUUCUGAUCUUACCAAAGAGCCUUGGCUCGUUUCUGGUCCAAAUUCAUUGAUGACAAGGUAACUCUACUUUUCAAAAAUCUUCUUUUCUUGCUUUGUUGAUUUGUCCCCAAAACAUCACCUUUAAUGCCAUCUAGAAGUGAAAUCUUGGAAUAAGUUAGAGAACCAUGAAAAAAGUUGAAUAAAUUCCAUUCAUUAAUUGUAUUAACUUUGUCUAAAUUCAUACUACUGAUUGGUCAAGUUCAUUUAAGAACUACCUCCGAUUAUCAUGAUUUAUAAUCUUUAUGGACUCAGUAUUUUGGGGGAAAACAAUAAUUUUGGGGUGGGUUAGAACUUAGAAGGUAUUAUGUGCCAUAUUUGAUUAUAGCAAAAAUGAUACUAUGAUAGUAAUACACGGUUUAAUAUUGACUAAAAUUAAUUUAAAAUUACAAAUUUUGACAUAUCACACUUUUUACUUAAAGGUUUGUCACCUGAUUUUGUAAUAUUAGUAUAGUAUGUGUUAGAAAGAAUAUGUUAGAGAGUAUGUUGGUAACUCGAUUAUGAUUGUCCUUAUAACUUUAUAAAAAAAUCACUAAUAAAUAAUGUGAUUUGUGAAAUCAGAUUGUGGAUGUUGCACGGGAAUCUGUUUUCACGGUUGAUGAGAAAGAGCGUGAGAAGAAUGUUACAGAAACGUAUGAGGGUCUGCAGUUUCUUGAGAAUGAGCUAAAGGACAAGAAGUUCUUUGGAGGAGAAGAGGUUGGGUUGGUAGAUAUAGCUGGUGUCUACAUAGCAUUUUGGGUCCCUUUCAUUCAAGAAAUUGCAGGGUUGAAGUUAUUAACCAGUGAGAAAUUUCCUAAGCUCUACAAGUGGAGUCAAGAAUUUGUGAACCAUCCAGUUGUCAAAGAAAGCCUUCCCCCUAGAGACCCAUGAAAGAGAAAAACUAGAAAUUAUAGAAUGUAUUCAUUUUAUUUUCGUAUUGAAAAUGAGAAUCAAUAUCUAAGAAUACAGGGUGUAUAAUUAGAAGGACAGUGUGUAUAAUUAGAAGGAUUAAGUACAAUAGUCACCAAAGAAAAAGAAGAAGAAAGAAAGAUGUUUACACAUUACCACUCCCCUCACUACACAUUCUCUCUCCUCUAAAUACCACUAUUAGUUGGUUACAUAAUCCACCAAUUUAGAGUUGGGUUUUCUCUCUCACACACUCUUUCUAUUACCCAUAGUAGGUAUGUAAGAUUUGUCAAAUAUUCUCCUCAGCUGAGUUGUUUCAAUUGAGUCAUUUUUUCCUUCUAGAAGCUUUUCUUUAUAUGAGAUCAUUACAACCCAGUUUUUGCCUUUUUCAAAGAAGGCUAUGAGAGCCUUUCUGCUUCAAAAUAGAUUUGAUGAUAUAGUGUGAGACUCUCAGAAUUUCUAAGGGAAAUUAUGUGCACUAGAUGUUUGACAUUGAGUUGUUAAAAUUUCGUUUCAAAAUGGGUGCUUUUAAGUUGUAAUCUUGGAUUUUUCCAUGUCAAAGAAAUCCAAGGUUGUUCCUGACAUUUUUCUAUUUCAAUAAAUAAAUUAUGUAGCAUCUUUCUAUUACUCAAAGCUCUUACUCCUGAUUAUUUAGAAACUUGUAGCAAGCUGGUGUUUUGCAAAUUGCAAUGAAUGGCAUUUCUUUGCCAGAUUAUGAAGAAUAAUGUAGUAUGAAAUUGCAGCUGUAACUCUUGCCAUGAAAAUUUCUUUUCCUUAGGUCAAUAUUCACAUAUUGAAAUAGGACAGGGGUUAUACAUAAUGGCGUUAUUGUGAUUUUGAAGUAGUCAUUAUGAUUUUAACGAGCAUCUAAACAUCUUACAAGUAUUACAUUAUUUCAUAAGUUAUAAGGUUAAUUUGGUGAUUAAAAAAAAACUUAUGUAAUUUAGUUAAACCUCAUAAGAGACUUAUAUAAUUUACUCAUAUUAAAAAAAUAUAAUAAAAUGCAUGAAAAAAAUAUCUAAGUGAUAAAACUCACAAAAUAUUAAAUAGUUUUUCUUGAUUUGUCCCCAAAACAUCAUCUAUCAUGACAUCUAUAUGUGAAAUCUUGGAAUAAGUUAGAGAAACAUUAAAAAAAAUGAAUAAAUUCCAUUCAUUAACUGUAUCAACUUUGUCUAAAUUCAUAUUAUGUUUCAUAUUUAAUUCUACAAAAAUAUUAGCAACACGAUCUUUUUUUCAACCCAUUACGAAUUUUAGUGAAUCACACUUUUGAAUCUCUCUUAAUAGUUUCAAUAGUAUAGUCGUUAGCUUGUCGUUGUGUAGUUAGCUUGUGCAGAUUACACAACGUUAUUGUGCUGAUAAAAAAAUAUUGAUUUAUGCAGCACUUAAGUUGUGGUUGUUUUUUAAAUUGGCUCUAUGCGGAUAAAUCAACUACAUGGUGUCGUUGUUGUACUAGGGGUAUCAUAAAUUCAAGGACCCUAUUACAUGAACUAGAAUUAUUUUACUGUACAAUAAAAAAAAUUAGAGGAGCUAGUGUAGUACUACUCAAACACUUCGAUUUAGACUUAAUUAGAAUUUAAAACUAAUUAAAAUAAAAUAAAAUAAAAAACUAAUAGACCUUAUUCAAAUAAAUUGUUUUUUUUUAUACAUCAUUGGCAUGAAGAUUUUUUUUUACAGCAACCAGUGUAAAGAUUUUUAUGCACUCAAUUAACUAAAAAUGAUUUGAGAUAUAAGUUUUAAUAUUAGUUACUACAAAAUCAAACAAUUUUUUCAUACAUAACCCUUCUAUCUAACUAAACCUUUUUCAUUUGAAUACUCUCUUCUCGUGAAGUUGUGAACUAUGCUUUCCAAACAUGCAUCUGAAAUAUUCUUUUUCAUGCUUUUAAUAUCAACUUAAGUAAUAUCAACUUAAGUUGAGCCUGAAUGUGGAAAAACAUGGACCCCAAAAGUGUGUUUGGAUGCGCAUUUUGCAUGUCCCAAAUGCACAGAAUCCAAAAAGGAAAUUUGACAGCACUCUUAAAGCUUAUAUUUAUGGAUCUUCUUCUUACUUAUAUGGUACUCAAUUUUUUUACUUUUAUCCAAUGUGGAACUUAAUCUUACACUUGUACUACAAUAAUAUAGUCUAUAUUGCUGAUGCAAUUCCUUACAUCACUUCUAAGCCAUUGACCGAGCCAAGUUUUCUGUAAUAUUUCUUUUAUACAUACAAAAUUAUAUUCAAGAACUCAUAAAUUAAAUAUUAUAUUAAGUUCAUCUUAGCUCUAUAAAAGCCUGAUGCCUUGUGACUCUCGAUACCAAAAUAAGACUUUGGAAUUGAUUGUUCUUAGGAGUGGGUAAGCGGGUCGGCCCAGCCCGUCCCGCGUAAGGUCCACCCGCAUAAGUCCGCAUUGGCAGCAGAUCGGGUCAGUCCGUCCCGCUUCAUAUACGAACCAAAUAAAUUGUUUCGCCCCCGUCCCGCGAAUCUCGUGGGUCAAACGGGCCGGUCCGUGGGCCUAGUUUUAAAAGAAUUUCAAUUUUAAUAAAAAUAUAAUACAAUCAAAUUAAGUUCAAUACAGAUGUAAAUAAAAUCUCAAUAAUUAGUCAAUUGCAUCAAUAAAAUAAAUAAUGUCUUAACAAAAGAAAAUCCAAGCAAUAAAUCUAAAAUAUGAAAUUUAAAUAUCUCCUACAACAAAUGAUUCCAUAUUUGAAGUAGCUUGAGCCUUCUCCAUCCCCAUAUUUAAGAGUACAAUAACAAUGAAUCAACCCCAACAAAAAUAGGAUAAAAAUAAAUUCUAGAGAGAGAAGAGAUGUACUUUGCGUGGUGGCACGAUGGUGGGCCGAGGCUGUGCCGCUGUAGUGUGUCGCGUGACUGUGUGAGUGUGAGUCGCGUUUUGUUUUCCUUGUAAGGGAACGAGUCGUAUGACUUGCGCGCGUGCAUGACUGUGUGGUGGAGAAAAACCGUGAGGAGAAAAAGUGUUCUUAGCCUGCUACAAUGAUAACGGUUAUAUAUGAUGUGAGCUAUUUUUUAUAAUAAAAAUAUAUUGAAAUAUCGUUAAAAAUAUUUAUUUAACAAUUAUUUUUAGCUUAAAUGAUAAGAAUUGACAUUUUUAUUAUCUAUGACUUACAGAUAUGAAAAUGAUAGAUUAAAAAAAAGAUCGAGAAAAUAUCAAAAAGGAAGAUUUUUAGCAUGUUAUCUCUUAUGUUUUUUUAUCUUAAUCUUUUAUUUUUGUUAUCUUUUAUUUUUCUUAUCUUAUCCUUUUCUAUCUUAUCAUCUUUUAAUUUAAAUAUUUUAUUUUUAUCUUUAAAUCUUUAACUUAUCUAAUAUAUUUCUUUAUCUGUUAUUUUAAAAGAAAAGUUUAAAGUGAAAAAGAGAAAUCAAACCUAAUAUAAUUAGGUCAGGGUCACACAAAUCAAACCUAAUGCGGGCUGCGGGCAACCCAUGGAUCCCGCGGGCCAAACCUACAUAGUUCGCGGGUUAAGCGAGGUGGGCCCAAAAAUAUGACAUAACCAUGGACCGUUUAAAAAAAUUGGUUCGUAACCCACGUGGACGAUGGGCCCCGCAGGCCAGUCCAUGGACUUGGGCCCAUUUACCCACCCCUAAUUAUUCUAAGUCAUUGGAAUUGAAGUGCUACAAACAAUGGCAGCUAGUCACGAAGAGGUUACCCUUUUGGGAUUUAGGGGAAGUGCAUUCAUUAGUAGGGUUCAAAUUGCUAUCUAGUUGAAGGGAGUUGAAUACAACUACGUUGAAAAAACUUUGUUCAACAAGAGUGAUCUGCUUCUCAAGUAUAACCCAGUUCACAAGAAGGUUCUAGUGUUUGUUCACAAUUAGAAGCCCAUAGCAGAGUCCCUUGUGAUUGCUGAGUACAUCAAUGAGACAUGGAAGAACAAUCCCAUCUUGCCUUCUGAUCCAUACCAAAGAGCCUUGGCUCGUUUCUAGUCC